UUGGUGAAGGUGAGGCGGACGUCGGCCGCGAAGUCGUCGUGCGAGGCGUACCUCCCGGCGGCGAGGCCCUCCUUGACGGUGCCGAGAUCCAUGGGGCGCUUGAUGACGGUGUGGUAGUCGUGGAGGCCGAGGCGCUCCACCUCGACGGGCGCGUUGAACCACACGCUCCGCUUGUCCUUGCGCAGCCUGGUGAGGAUCUGGCCGCACCGCUUCCGCAUCGUCCCGCGGAGCUGCUGCUUCGCGGGCGGCGGAGGCAGCGGUGGCGGGCCCUGCUGCUGCCAGGUGUCGAUGCGGGAGAGGAGGGCGCGGACCUGGCCCAGCUCCCCCGCGAGGCGGUCCCGGAGCGCGCGGGCCUCGCGCUGGCCGAGGGAGGACGGGCGGAACGUCACGUAGCCGACCGCCGCCGCCGCCCGCGGCUUGGACUUGGACUUGGACCCGUCGGCGCGCGGGUGGGGCUGGCUGGGGCUAGGGUUGGGCGGGAUGGGCGCGAGCGGGGCGCGCGUCUCCCAGGAGCUGUGGUGGUGCGCCCCGCCCCGUCCGGCCAGCAGGGCGGAGGCCAUCGCCGGCGCCGGCGAGGUCCCGCGAGCUCGAUUGGUGCGCUGGCAAUUCGGAUCCGGGAGAGAGGGAGAGCACGAGAGCGAGGGGGAGGGGGGAGUGGGUGGAGUGGAGACGACGGGAUUUUUUUUUCGCAGUGGGGGCGGGCGGAUCUGGCCGGCGUCGGGAGAGGAGGGGAUCCGCGCCGUUGGUGUGGUGAGUAGACGGAUGGGAUGGCUCGAGACUUUCGUGUGCGAGCGUCGUUGCGUGGCCGUGGACGCUUUGGGUUUGACUGGUCGUUGGGGCACGGGUAACUGCCAUGUGGGGCCAGUGUGCGGUGGGGCCGUCGUCUCAGUGAGUACAGCGGUUGAGGGGAGACGGGCAGACGAGCAGUAGAACUUGUGGAUUUGGGAACUGGGAGUUGUGUUUUCGCGGGAACAUGAUCUUGCUCGGUUCGCUUCGCGCCUUCUUCCUGGCGUCGUGCACUCGUGCAAGAAGACAGUAAAACCAGUAGCCAAAAAAAAAAGAGUGCUGCUAAUAGGCUUUUGGCGUCCAUGGACUCACAUGUUAACGGCUUGUUCACUUGUAUGAUAAGACAUAACUAAAAGUAUUGUUUAUUAAUUUAUUUUAAAGAAAAAUAUUAUUAAAUAAUUGAUAAAUUUGGCAGAUAAAAAAACGUCAGUUGAUAUGCCGUCGCCGGUACACGAUCCAUGCGUGUGAGCGCUGUAUAUGCCACCGGCAUCGGCCAUCUCUGUUGCUUUCGAAUAUGAGCAAAGGCAUUGGUAGUUCGGUGUCGGUAUGUGUGGAGGGAGCCACAGCCCACACAGCCACAUGUGGCCCUGCUCUCCAAAAAAAACGCGUCGCCGCGUCGGUCUAGCCCAGGCCGUGAGAGCCCGAGAUCGUGAAAUGCGCUGCAAAGAUCGAUGCACACAAAGGACGGACGGCCACCAUCUUUAUAUUACCAAAGAAAAGAAAUACACAAUCAACUUCUUAUAUUAGCACUGUUAUUAUUUCUCAUCAAGAACUGCAUGCACAAUCCGAAUAUUCAAAUAUAUAAAAAAAUACUAAAUCUAAUCAAACUCAGUAUUAUUAUUUGGUGAGACUUAUUCUUUGUCUUGGACAGAGGGAGUAGUAGUACCAAAGAAGAGCUGCCGAGCUACCAGGCCGACACAUAUGGCGGCACAAAAACGGGUCCGUAACACGAAUCUCACGAAUCCCGCUCCCAGCGGCGCCUCCCGCCGCUUAUCCAAGUUCCCCUCCACCGCCUCCAGCUUGGCCAAUAUCCUCCGCAGCUGGCGCCGUUCGUGUGCCAAUCUCAUGCGCUCCUGUAGGAGGCGGCGCCUCUGUCUGAUGUUAUAGUUGUAGGCCUUGGCGGCGCCGGCGCUGGCGCCAAGGCUGCCAGUGGAAGCAAACCUCCGGCCGCCGUAACCCUCCGCCUCCGCCGCCGCCGCUGCGCGAGCACUUCGCGCAACCGCCCGCGCCAGGCACUGCAUGGCCGGCCUCUCUGUCUGUCUCCUCGGAUCGGAUCUAGUAGCGAAAUCGGGUUGAUGGAUCGAUUGUCUGUGAUCAAUGCUGUUCUGCGGUCUGCCUGUCUCCACGGGUGCACCGGCCGCCGCUACGUCCUGAGGAUUUUAUAAUACCGGCAACUGAAUCCGAGAAGGAAUCUUCGAAACUGAAUCUGAGUAGGAAUCUGUGUUUCGCCGUUGGGCGCUCGGAUGACCCGUAAACAAGCUGAGGUGUUAAUCACUCGGGGCCUGUUUGUGAAGCUGUUGUGAGCUGUUUUUUUGCCAAACACUUAUUUCCAAAACAGCUUCAUGGGUGAAGCUGUUUUUUUCCCCUCUCACAAAGACAUAAGUUGGAUGAAGCUGAAAAAAAGUAGCUUAUUGCAGCUUCUCUCUCAUUUCUCUCUCUCAACUAUGCAUGAAGUAGUUGGUGAAGCUAUUUUGCCAAACACUUUCUCUAAAACAGCUCAGCUUCAUCUAGAAAGUCACUCAUGAAGCUAUUUUCUAAAAAAACAGCUUUACUAGUGAAGUUGAGUUGUGCCAAACAAGCCCUCAAUACUCCAAAUAGUUGAGUUCCAUAUAUUAUGUAUAUUAUAUUAUUAUUACAAGUGUUCAUCAUACAUACGGUAUCUUUUCCUACGAAGACGGGCAUGAUAACUCGUGUUACAUGAACAGUCUCACAGACCCACAAUAUACAUAAGGGUUCCCACACACACACAAGUUCAAUAAUAUAUGGCACGCCACAAGUAACGCUAGCACAUGCCUCAUGCCGAGGAGAGGCAAGGGGGAGUCUCUUUCUCCAUGAACUGCCUGCUUCCCUCCGGCAAUCAGUGGGACGUCCAGCCUACUCUCAGGUGCCGAUCCAAUAGACAACGACAACUGCUCAUCCGCUUACAGCCGGGAGAUGAGCAGCGGGACAGAGACGGGGCUGUCUUCGCCCAUGGCAGGGUGGCACAUCUCCAGCAUGUCCAGCUCCCUGAACCGCUCCAGAACCCGCAUCUUGCACUCCUCGGCCGCCAUGACACCAGUGGAGAAGGCGCCGUGCACCGUGCCCGUGUACUUGAGACUCGUCGCCUCACCCGCGAAGAACAGGUUGUCCACGGGGAUGCGCAGCUUCUCGUACAGGUCCCGGGGUUUGUUCACCCCAUCGAACGUGUAGGAACCAAGUGAGUUCUCGUCUGAGCCCCAGUGUGACACCAGGUAAUUUAUCUGCAAUAACAAAUUUUGGUCAGCAUAGGCUGUAAGAAAAGAAAUGCUCUAUAGCAGGAUUCUUUUAUUACUGUAGUAGUCGAAGGUAUCGUCAACAAACUAACCGGCUCAGCUGCAUUGGGAAGGAUCUUCUUCAACUGAGAAAAGGCAAACUGGGCAGCAGCCUCAUCUGACAUUUUCUCGAUGUCACGAGCAAGGCGGCCAGCAGGCAUGUAAACAAGGACAGGGUGGCCUGUUGCCUUGUGAAGGUUGAGGAAAUAGCUGCAACCAUACGUGCUAGAGGAAACGACGCCGAGGAACUCCACGUUAGGCCAGAAAACCUGGCCGAAGUGAAGAACAAUUUUGUUUUCAAUUCCAACUGUAAGUUCUCUAAUUGCUUCUUCUUUCCAGUCUGGCAGCCUCGGCUCAAAUUUAAUGGUUUGUGCUUUCAGGACACCCAACGGAACAGCGACCACUGCAGCAUCCGCAACAAAUGUUUUGCCACUGCUUACAGUAACCUCUACCCUGUUCCUGUGGCGAACAAUUUCCACAACCCUGAAGAACAAAGAACAAGGAUCAAUACUGAAGGAAUGGCUGAUGAAAGUGAAACUGCAACUAUUUACCAAAUUAAUAAGAAAAGGAUAGAGACGCAUACUUAUGGUUGAGGCGUAUAUCUAAGCCUUUCGCAAGAGUAUUUAUAACCGGACGAUAUCCACGAACCAUGAGGCCAUGACCACCUGGCAGCAGCACCUCCUGCAUCCCAUCAACAUUAUAAUGAAUAAGGCACAGUAAUUUCAUAAUUUGCAAGUACAUUGGCCAGCUACUAAGCAAAUAAACAUACCUGAUCCCAACCCUGUAGUGAAAUUGAAUCAGCGUCGGUGGCAAACCAACCCUCCAUACGGCACAAAUACCACUGAAGGACCUCAUGAGCAAUCCCUUCUUGCCUGCAGUGAACAUAUGGAAAACCCAAUUAAAAUGACCGGAAUGUUUGCGCAGACCAGCGCACAUAGGCAGAAAUUAGAUUAGUAUAAACCUGAAGUGUGGAUUUCUAUCCAUAACAAUUGCAAUGGCUUUUGCAAUAGACAUAUCUUCAUUGGUUCCUUCCCUCAAUUUGCCAGUCUGUGCCAGAAGUGUUAAUGAGUAAAUCAAAUAAUAGAAACUACCUAAAAUCAACAGGCACCGACACACCACUAAUUGAAAGGAGGGAAUACCUCUUCCAGUAUGGUCUCAAACACCUUCCCAAUCUUUUCUACCAACUCUUGUGGUACUUGACGUCCAUUAGUGUCAUAGAGUGCAUAACUGAAAGGAAAUAGAACAAGUUAGCACCCAUCAUUUGCUCCAUCGUCUCUCAAAGUACAAUUCAUCCUAAUGCAAAGUUUUACCUCUCCAGAUCAUGAUCAAACAGCACAGAAUCAUCUCCACUUGUGCGGUACAGUGGAAGCCCAAGCCUUCCAAUUAUUGGUGCUAAGGGAUUUUCUUCACAGACGCCAUGAAGCCUGAUGAAUAAAAUGAUGAUAUCACAGUUCAAGAUAAACUUUUGGGCACAUGGUGAAAGUUAAAAAGAAAAAGAAUGGAACUCACCAAGAUGCUCCCAGAUCGACUGGAAACCCAAACGAGUAGUCAGUGUGAACUCUGCCACCAAUCCUAUCACGGGAUUCCAGAAGAAUAACCUGGAAUGUGUCACGACAAUUGAAAUGCAUCACAAAUUCUCAUUUUCGUCUAAGAAAUAUGGGUCAUAAAAUUGCACCAGCACACUGAAAAAUACCUGGAAGGAGGCAUUUCUGAGCGCAUCUGCAGCAGCAAGACCUGCAAACCCACCACCAAUAACAAUAGCGGUUGGUGUGUGUGGCUUUCUCCUAGCAUUUUCACCAAAUGAACCUGACAUGAAUACAAAAUAUGUUUUAUCUCAGUAAAGGUAACACAGGAAAUAAAAUGUUUAAGUACAAAACGUGUUCAGAAGUACAAGUUUAGUUCUAUUGAUCAUAUUGAGAAGGAAAGGUAAGGUUCAAAGACAUUUCUAAUCAAAUUUAUUAUUCUAGCAGUAUCACAAUUUUGACUCAGAGAAAAGAAGGAAAUAAAGGUGGAUGGUUCCUGCUUCUUUUAAUUAUAUCCAUAAAAGAAACUUCCUGAAACAUUCUCAUGUCUGUUACUGCUUUAGUGUUUGGAUGACAUAAACCUGUUCAAGUUUAAUGCUCUGCAAAUUUUGAUGCAAUUGGUGGUUGCUAAUCUGGUGGGGUUUAUCAUAAGACUGAUAUUUCGCUCCAACGAGCAGAGUGCCUCCAAAUGAUAAAAGACCAGUUCAUACAGAAGUAACACAAAGAAGCCUACCAAGUUGUGAAAUUGCCGAUAUCGCCUGUUCUUCUCACAUCAACCCUCCUCUACCCCCUCCACCAUGGAGGGUUAGUAGUGAGGCAUGUUCCCCUGUCUCAGAACAAUGAUGGCGAGGUAAGACAGGACAUUUUAAGAUUUUCACUGUCCUCUCGACAACUAAAUUUGGGCCUGUGUAGUGUUCUUGGUCUGUAUUAACCGCGGGUGCUUUGGCACAAGACAGAUCACUCUUGACUGCAACAUUUUUAUAGCAUAUAAAUUAGGGGGUUUCAGAAGAUUGCAAUGGUGAGAACAACUUUUUAUUUAUCUUUGCCAGAGCAUGGACAUGACACAAGGUCAUAAAUGAUUGGUACACUCUUCUCGAUCAUGUUUGGACAAUAUGGGCACCAAACUAUAAGGAAUAAGCAUGCCAUGUCUUGUGGCUAUUGGCUAAUGAUCGCCUUGGUAACACUAGGUACUCAGUGGGAUUGUGGAAGACACAUAUUUAGCAAACCCCUCUAUCAGAUAUGCUUGAAAAUAAAAAGGCAGCACAACUUCAUUGCUCACCAAGCAUCUAUCACCAAGUGAUAGCAGGCACAAUGAGACACACUAAGGGCUAAAAGUAAUACCCAUGAAUGUAUGACAAUGACAAGCAAAAGCAGUAUAUACCGAGAACGUACAAAUGCAUGCAAAUUGCAGCAUUGGUAUAAGUAAACAAGUAGGCAGGUACAUCCACUAGCCAAUAUUAUGAUACAUUUAUCUACCCGUGUUCGUGAGCAUGACAACGAUGUGGAUCGCACAUGCAUGGAAUGAAGCACUUAACACGAACAGCAUCAGGUUUCGUAGAAAUCAGUAUAUGUUAAUUUUUCCUUAUCGUGCUACCGUGGUGGGCUUGUGAGAAUAUAAGUGAAGGUCGCCGGCAUGGGCGGAGCCAAGGCCCGGCUAGCCUGGGCUGUUGGCCGGGCUCCCCUGCCGCAAAUACGGUAAACCAAGGAGCUAACUCAGGGAGUAAAGUGUGGUUAGCAAGUCAGCAUGUGUAUAUUGCAUAGAGGAUAAUUGGUUUGCCCAGGCUCUUUAAAACCGCUGGCUCCGCCACUGGUCGCCGGCACUAUAUAUGAGGCACAGGAGUCCACAAGUCCACAUGGGGUCAAAUUCGAGAAGCUUCCAAGUGGUCGGUCCCCUCUUGCGUGAGUUGUAUAAAGUCUAGUUUUUUUUUCCUUCCUUCCACCGACAAAUGAAUAUGGGACUUCAUGGUUCAUGGCCCAUGCGUGCCUCCCAACAACCAUACGAAACCAAAGUUUUAAGUUGGAAAAAAUCAAUUUUGCCACUAAGUGGUGUCAGAUCUACCAAAUAAAUACCUAAUCAAAAAACCCAAUAACGUAUCAUGUCAGAAAACAAAUACUAGAUGAUCCCAAGUCAUCCAAUCGACUCUUCUUCACCCACCUGAGUAGCUUUAAUAAUUCACAUCGAUUUAAGAUAUAUUUUCAAAUUGGAACAAAAUCCGAUCUACCAACUAUAAGCCCGAAACUGAAAGAGCUCCCGGAGAAGAAGCAGGACUUACUGUUGUUCGCCAUCUGUGAAGCUCUGUUCUUCUUCUCCUUCACAAUUACUACUUGAAUUUGAAUUAGAAUUGGAUGGAUUUAACAACUGGGGGGAGAAAUGCAGCAGGAAGAUGAGGAGGCAGGCGACGUAGUGGUUCGAGUUCGAGUUGAGUCCCAGGUUCACGAAACAGUUCAUACAGCCGUGCAGCCGAAUCGCCGCAGCCCUCUCAGGAAUUCACACGGUCCCCUUGGCGAUCUCACACAACCUUCCCCAAGUGUUCCCCCGAUCCCAUCAACUUCUUAGCCGAUUCGACUUCGGGGUAGAGGAAAACUCCGGCGGCAGGGCAAGCAACACUGCAGAAUCAGGGAAAUCAAACAAUUAUAAUUAAUCCGUCACAGAAAAAUUGAUAUUUCCGUCUCUACUGCAACAGAAAUCGGAUGAUUUGCGGCACUACGGGAGGGGGGAAUAGCCACAACAAGUUCGCUCCUCUGACGCAAUCUGGCCAGAGAUAACAAUAAUAAUUCCAAAAAUCGCCAGGCAACCCGGGGGAAACCGACACGGAAUCUCACCCCGCAAGCCAAGCAAUCCAGGGAGGCAGCAGGGUCAAAAAAGAGUCCGUCCUUUCAGGUCUCCCCGCAAACCAGGCUGAAAUCACGCGAAUUCAUUCAUGCGGAGAAGAAAAAAAAAACAUGAAACCCACCUCAAAAACUUAGGCCGGGGCCGAAGAACUGGAGAUUCUCCUUUGCACAGGAAGCCGGGAAGGAUCUCGGUGGGUGCGUAGAGGGAGGAGGAGGAGGAGGAGGAGUCCUGCGGCCUGCUGCUGUCUGUCUCCUACCGUUUGGGGGAGCUUUGGGCGUUGCGUUGGUGAAUGGUGAUGAUGGUGAGGGGCGGUGUGGUGCGGCGAUUGGGUGGAAUUUAUAGCUUCGUUGGACGGCGAGGAGGGUACCGUGCACCACCAGGUCACCUUACCCGCCACCCGGGGUGUCAGAGCCGCGCCGACCCCACCAAACGCGUGGUUUCGUGAGCGUUUGAUCGCGUUUGGACGGCGCUGAUGCGCGAUGUAGCUGGACGAGCGUUGCUGACCACAUGUCAGGGGUGUGGCGAUAUUUCUUUUUUCUUCUUUUUCUUUCCAGCGAUGCCAAAAGGAGUAUAUGUGUAUAAAAAGUUUAAGAUGCAUAGUACUAGUUUCUAGAAGGAUGCAUAAUUCGUAAGUACAUUAUUUUCUCAUGGAUGAUUUAUAAUCAUUUGAUUAUUAAUGUUGACAAUGUAUAUAAAGAGCUCAGGGGCAAUUUGCAACAUCCUUAGAGCAGCUUCUUCGUGGUGAUUAUUCUUGCUCAGUUAAGUAGAAAAAUUAACCCAGACUAUGGUAAGGACAAGACACAAAUAACUUCUUUAUUAACACUGGAUUGAGCUAGGGGCUAAAAAAAUUGACUCCUCACUAUUUUUACCGGAAUCACUUCCUUACUCGCUCCACAUUCUAACCCACCCACCCCCAACUAGAGCACACCAUCAAAGAAUUAGCAAGCUAAAUCGAAGAAUCGAAGAGUAGAGCUCUAACAUAUAGGUCCUAAGAGUAUGUUUUAAGAUUGAGAUUGGGUCGGACAAGGCUUUAGAAAGCCCUAUAAAAAUUCUUCAGCCUAAACUUAACACUUGGGGAGUUUAUGAAUAUGAGUACUAGAUUUUGAAAAAAAAGAUGGUAGAGGUAUUUGAGAAAAAGAUGGUAGAAGCUAGAACUUUGUUCCAUUAUCUAAAAAACUAUUUGAAAGAAAAAAAGAGUUUUGAUAUGAGGUAAGUGUAUAUGCUUGUAUGUUGUAUUUGUGAUGGUGCUUGAGGAGGCACCAAGGCAGAAGUGUCUACUAGCUAGGAAAUGCAUCCAAGAGGGAUGUGGACCUAAAGCAGAUCGGAACGGAAACAAGACCUACGUUUCUGUUUCCAUGUCACACGUUCCAAGAACGUCUACGUUCUAAAAACGUGAAUGUUCAUGUUUCUACGUUAUAAAAUGAUAUCCAAGUUCUUGUUCCCGUUCCGGAAACCGGGACGGGAACAUGGUUGCUUAUGAUGUGGACACAAGGCUAGCUAAUCACUGAUUUGAGCUCAAUUGUAGGUUAGGCGAAAUAAUCUCCUAGGAGUGCAAUGCAAAUAAACAUAGGAAAUGAGCUGGUGACAUGAUAAAUCACUAUCUACGGUAUCUACCGAAAGGAGCUGCUGCUAUCGAACCUCCUCAAGGUGUUUAAUUAUGCAUUUAUUAGAAGAACGUGGUUUUAGAGAUCCUGUGGUGUUCUUGGUGCCACUUGUGCCGUCUUUCGUAGUCUAAGUUAGACUUAUUCUUUUAUCAAUAUACAUAUAUAUUAUUUCCUAUAUUGUUUCAAUAAAAAAACAUAACGCUCCGUUGAGCCAUGCGCGCGCCCUGCAGUGAAAAGGAGUCGUUUUCAGGGUCCUAUCAUAGCGAUUAGCGAAGGCGAUGGCAUUCCUUGCACGUUUGAUUCCUUGCAGCUACACGGUGUGGGCGCGCGAGCGAGUGAACACGUUUCGUCCACUCACGUCGUGCUCGCUAGUGGAUCGUUAUUACUGCUGCUGCCCGGCCUGCCGGCCGGCGCGCGACGACGAGGGGAGCGCGGGGGAUUAAUUAACACCACGAACAACACGACGGCGAAAGAAACCCGCCGGCCGUGUGCCCGUGUGGUAUAUAUCGUACGUCUCUCGGCGACCUGGACGCUACUGUUCAUCGCUCUCGGAGUAGGGGUCCAUCGGCAGGAGCUAGCACGAGGGAGUUGUGCUACUAAAGAUCUUUUUUUUCUUCAUUCAUUCAUAUCGUUUUCCGACGAGCCAUGUAUGCACGGAUCGAUCGUAUCGUAUAACAAUAUAUAGGCCUUGUUUAGAUGCGAAAAGAUUUUGGAUUUCGCUAAUGUAGCAAUUUCGUUUGUUUGUGGUAAAUAUUGUCUAAUUAUAGGCUAAUUAGGAUCAAAAGAAUCGUCUCACGAUUUACAGGUAAACUGUGCAAUUAAUUUUUAUUUUCGUCUAUAUUUAAUACUUAAUGCAUAUGCCGAAAGAUUCGAUGUGAUGAGGAAUCUUGAAAACUUUUUGAAAACUUCAUGCAUAUGCCACAAUUUGACUCGAUUUGUAGAAAAUAUAUAUAAUAUUUAUAUCUCUAAAUAAAUUUAUUAAAAAACUAGACUUAAAGAUCUUUCCAAUGAUACUAAUUAUGUUAUAAAUACUAAUAUUUUUUACUAUAUAUUUAGUUAAAAUUAUUUCUUGGAAAGCGAAAACGACACUUAUUUUGGGACGGAGGAAGUACACCAUAAGAGUAUGUGGUAUGUGCGUGUGGGCCUAUUUGUACAUAGGGUUGUUGCACGUAUUCUUGGACCCGUUUGGAUAAUAGGACUAAAAAUUAGCACUACUAUGUUUAGAUGCUAUAAUAAGAAGGAUCAAACAUGAAUUAAUUUUAAAACUAAUUACAUAAGCGAUGACUAAUUAGCAAUAUGAAUCUAUCAAUCCUAAUUAGCUCAUGAUUAUUAGCUUAUAUGAUGUUACGUACGGUAAACCUAUACUACUCAAGGUCUCUAAUGAGAAUUAAUAGAUUUGUCUCACUAAAUCACCAAUAAGUCACUGCUUAUGUAAUUAGUUUAAAAUUAAUUCAAGUUUAAUUAGUCCUAAUUAACAUCAAAUAUAGUACGUGCUAAUUUUUAACCGUGUCUCAUAGUCGAAUAUGUACGUAUGAGUAGAUAACACUGUAUCCAAAUUAAUUAUCCAUGUACUAUGUAUGUGCACUAUGCACUGAUUAAACAAUUCAUGAGUUUGAACUUAAAAAAGUUUCAAUUCCUAAAGUUGUUUUAAGUUAAACGUUUUAAACUUUGACCAAAUUUCUAGAAAAAAACGCUAAGAUUUAUACCAAAUUAGUAACAUUAGAUUUAUCAUAUAAAAUAUUUUAUAAAAUAUUCAUUUUAUGUAUAGCUAUUGAUACUCUUUUCUAUAAAGUUAGUUAAACUUUGAAUGACACAGAUUCAAAUAAUUGAAGCUUUUAUGACAAAGGAAUAUCUUACUAUUAAUUAAUUAGCGAAUCGAUUCCCGUCAUUUCCCGGGGUCAAUUAAUCUCAGCCCUUAUAUAUUCGUCUCCUUCCUACCACAGGGGACCGAGGGACGUGCCACAUUGUUGACGUGUUGGCGCUUUAGAGGCGGCAGGUAAAACGUGCCAAUCAGUAACAACAGCGAGACACAGUUGAAAAGAACGUGUGUACUCGGCUACUUCAUUCCCGGGAGCUACACGCCACGCCAGUCGGUAGGAGUAGGCUACAUGACAUAUAUACACUACAUAAGACUAUCAGAUCCAUUGUGGUACCCAAAUUGAUUAAAAUAUGUCUCCAACACAAUAUUUAUAGUUUCCAAGUACCUAUAUUGAAGACUCAUUUUAGGUGUCACAAUAGGCAUAAUUUAAAUCUGAAUAUCCUCUAUCCUGAAAAUCCAUUUGCAAAAAGAGUUGUCUUUUAAAUCUUGUUAGAGAAGACUAAAAAUAGAUAUUAAACCUUUUGCCUGUAGUAUUGGUUAAAGGAUAAAUAAGUCUUGUGUUUUAGGUCGUAGUUGUUGGAGACAAUAUAAGGAGUGCCUUUCUUUCCAGGCCAAUGAGAACACAACAAAAACGGUGGAAAAUCAAAACGGAUAGGAUCAAGCGCAAAAACUAGCAGUCGGACAGACAUAUCAUCAUGUCGUAAUCGCACCCGUAUCACAAAUAUUUAUUUAAUUAAUUAAUAUUAUGAGCGUGCGCGUGAUUUUUUUUAACAGGACGGAAUUGAUUCUGGGGUUUUGUUUACUUUAUUCUGAAAACCAAAAACUUUUUAAGAUUUCAUAUCACAUCGAAUCUUGCGGCAUAUGUAUUGAGUAUUAAAUAUAGAUAAAAACAAAAAUUGAAUGCACAGUUUACCUGUAAAUCACGAGAUAAAUCUUUUGAGUUUAGUUAGUUUAUAAUUAGACAAUGUUUAUCAAAUAAAAACGAAAACAAUACAGUACCAAAAUUUAAAAAAUUUCGGAACUAAACAAGGCCUGAGUGUUAGGACUUGACUUGCACGUGUGAGAUAACAAGGGUGGGGUCACGUCUCUCUCCAGGACAAAAAGGUGAGUGCCAACUACUGCAAACAAAAGAGAGAGAGAGAGAGAGAGAGAGAGGUGCUAGCAAUGCAUAAUUGCAUUUCGCGACAUGAUGAUGAUGAUGCAUGGUGGAUAUGUGAAGCUCGUGCUUUACUACUGGUUACGCGUUUGUUGCGAGGUGGCACGUACGUACUCGAUCAGGUCCUUCUUCCAGCUUAAUUUCGCAAAGCGGGGAGCCUAAAGUGCCAUGUUCAAAUGUGAGCAAAUAUAUACUCGGAUCGGAUCCCAUUUUCGAAUGUGCGCAAAUAUAUGCCUCCUCCUCGCUUCUGCAUUGCACGUGGAGAACGUGAGGAGAUACUUAGGCCUUGUUUAGAUUUAAUUUUCUUUAGAUUUCACUACUAUAGCACUUUCGUUUGUAUUUGACAAUUAAUGUCCAAUCAUAAACUAACUAGGCUCAAAAGAUUCGUUUCGUGAUUUACAGAUAAACUGUGUAAUUAAUUAUUUUUAUUUACAUUUAAUGUUUCAUACAUGUAUGGUAAGAUUCGAUGUGAUAAAGAAUCUUAAAAAGUUUUUGGAUUUUAGAGUGAACUAAACAAAAUCUUAUUGCCCUAUUUAGUUACCAACCCAAAAAAUUUCCAUCCAUCUCAUCGAAUCUUUGGACACAUGUAUGGAACAUUAAAUGUAAAUAAAAAAUAAACUAAUUACACAGUUUGGUUGAAAAUCACGAGACGAAUCUUUUAAGUCUAGUUAGUCCAUGAUUAGCCUUAAGUGCUAAAGUAAUCCACAUGUGCUAAUAACAGAUUAAUUAUGGUUAAUAGAUUUGUUAUGUAAUUUGUUUUUUUAUUAGUUUAACCCCUUCCGACAUUCUUCCGACACAUCUGACGUGACACUCAAAAUUUUUUUAUCUCCAAUCUAAACAGUGCCUUAAUUUGUAGCGUUACUAUGCCUUGUUUAGAUGCAAAUUGUUUAUAAUGGCGGCAGUACGAACGUGGCACUGCUGCACGCAGGCGCCCGGCCCGUAGGUGCCGGCGGGGGCCAGCCCCGGCGCUGCUCGUGUGUUGCCCCGGCGCUGCUCGCGUGUUCCUGUAGUACGUCGGUUGCCACGGUGGGCUGGCUGGCUGGCUGGUACAGACGUGUUUGUCCGUCGCGGCAACCGACGUCGUACUACGGGAACAAGACGUCCGGCCAACCUCGUUGUUCGCUCAUGUGCAGCCGCAGCUGCGCGCGCCAGCAGUGCACUGCGCACCACUGUUUGCCUCACGUGAGUAGGGUAGCCGGCUACCCGUGCCGGCCGGCCCGCAGCGAGACCUCGUGCUCGUGGCUCGUACAAAUGCCGGACACCGGGCCAAUGCCGCCGCGGCAGCCGGCCGGUGGCGGUGGCUGCCCCGAAACCGCCGAGUAAAGUGCGCGAGCGCCCCCACGCCCACGGCGCACGCGGCGGUCACCAACAAACUCUAGCUCGUGGUGCUGUAGUACUGCCCCGCGGCAACCAAAACCCUGGUCUCGUCUCGUGACUCGCCCGCCUCACGAUCCGAAUCACUCGGAGACAGUGCGCGGUACCGCGCCCGUCCCGUCGAAACGCGUGGCCGGCGGUGCUGCCUGCCACCAGACCGGCGUGAUCGAUCUCGGUGCGCGUACGAAUGGCCGGCUCCCCGGCGGCGAAUCACACGUUGGUUUGGUGGUGCCUCGUCGUGCCGUCGUACAUACACGCGGAACACAUUGCUUGCUGUCCUGCAGGAGGCUGGAGCCCCGGCCGGACCGGACGAUGCCCUGUACCACACACACCUGCUGCUUAGCCUGCGCUCUGCAUUCCACUCCGCGGCUCCCGGCACGGCAACAACGAGAACGCAGUUUUUUUUUUCAUACAUAGUCAACAUCUGCUAUCCUCACCGUUCAACAUUGCAUUGAAAUGUGUGCAAUCUAAAUCAGUAAUGUGAAGCAGCAGUGGAGAAGUAUGAAGUAGCAGUGGUUUAACAUCUGCUAUCCUCAUCGUUCAACAUUGCAUUGAGAUGUGUGCAAUCUAAAUCAGUAAUGUGAAGCAGCAGUGAAGAAGUAUGAAGUAGUAGUGAGAGAGUAUAAAUACACGAAUCUCAAAGCACUUGGUGUACGUCGCGUGGCCGUGGCAGAGCAGACUGGUGGAUGUGGAUACCGUCACCAUCGCGCGUACGAGCACCACCACAUAUCCCCUCCGAUCGCAACACUUUUUUGUUUGUUGGUAAAAAAUAUUAUUGCACGGCGCGACAAAAUGCGACUGCACGCGUACGUGACGAAUUUAAAAUUUUCAGAGAUCCCCAAGGAUCGUUAUCUGCAUGCGUGCCGAAUUCUGAAUCAGGGACCGCGCUACACUACACUACACUACACUACACCGGCCGGUCGUGAUCGUGUUCGGCGCGACAUCUGCGUCAUGCAUGGCCGUAGAAGGGUUCACAACAGAUUUAUAGACUGGCUUGAGCUGUUUUUUUUUGCCAAACACUUAUUUCUAAAAUAGCUUUAUGGUUGAAAUUGUUUUUCUUCUCCUCCCACAAAGAUAUGAAUUGAGAUAAAACUAAAAAAAAUAGAUUAUUGUAGCUCUCUCUCAUUUUUUCUUUCUCAUUUAUACAUGAAGUAGUUGUUGAAGCUAUUUACCAAACAUUUUUUUAAAAAAACAGCUUCAUCUAGAAAGCUGUUUAUAAAACUAUUUUUCUAAAAAAUAAUUUUACUAUUAAAAUUGAGCUCUACCAAACCAGCCCGACAUAGAGCACGCCCCAACACGUCCAAAGCCCGACAUAGAGACAUGCAAGUGGAGCCCAGGUCAUCAGUACCUCACCUCCAAGAAGAGGCUGGAGAUCGAGCCACGUAUGCAUGAUGCAUGUGCCGCCUCACGAGCCGUUUGCGUCAGCUAAUUAAUCACCCUACCCUCAACUACUGCAGAUUUCUUGAGAGCGCAGGUGUUUUGUAUUACAAGUGUUUGACAAAGAUCAAGGUUCAAGAAAAAAAAAACGUGGCUGUAAUGUGUACUUGCAAGGAAACGAGCACCUGGCUUACGAGACACAUGGCUCGAGCACAAAGCUUGCCUUCGGAACGGGGGGAAAAAGGUACAUCAUCUCUGGAAACAUCUAUUGGUCAGGUCUGACUAAUCACACGCUAAAGAUCGUGACCAAGAAGAUUUGGUUAUUUUUAUUUCCCAAGUCCCAACUGAACGAAAACAGGACUACCGAUUGAUACAUCUCAGCUGUGGUUACCUAUUUGAUCCUCAUUCCUGAGUCGUAGUAACCAUGCAAAUGACCAGAAACCGAGUUACCUACCUUAUUCGUCCUGAAUCACCCAAACACCCAGGUUGCCCAUGAGGUCACCUACAACUACAACUGUAGUUCACUCGUCAGGGGUCCAAGUCAUGCGAUCGCACAAAUGCAAGUCAUACUGACCAGACCUAAACAGCUGACCUUCGCAAAAUCUAACUAGUUGAAGUUUUGAGGAAAAGUAAACUAGUCUAGUGUGCAUCAGCGGCUAUAAAAUGUAUACACUUUCAGGUAAAGACAAAAAAGUUUUAAGUGGCACUCAAGGCGCAAGCCCUGUAACCUAACAAGAUUAUGUUGAUAUUGCUCAUGUGCAUGGAUCCCACCCAAAGCAACUACUACAGGCAACAAGUGGUUGCUUAGUUGUCAUCUGUCAUCACUGCACAAUGCAUGUCUCCAACCUAGGGUUCAAAACAAAGAAACAUUUUUUAUUUACAACUUGCAUGAAAUGGACGGCAACAUAGAUAAGAUAGCUUAACAUUGGGAAAUACCAAAAGAGACUCAAUUUGUUUCACUUUCCCUUUUGCACCUAGGCUUCUGCAAGAAAAUUGGUCCACAUAGAUAGCAAGGCACAAACACAUCAUAAUGCGGGACUGGUGAUCCACAAAUGGCUACAAGAAAAGACCACAUAUGCCCAACUGACAGUCGUAGAUAACUUUAGGAAACAAUGAUAAACACGUGGCAAUAAGGGGGACUAGUUAAUACAACUAUACUACAAGAGACGAACCAAUUAUAAACUCUUGUAGUGCCAUCUUCAGUCCAGCGCAACAAGUGAGUGGAACAAAAAAGUUGCACUGCACGGUACAACAGAGAACAGAGCACCUAAUUCAAAGUAUACCAUAAUGAAGAGCUCAAAACAGGUUGCACGAUCCGCGUCCAAGUUAAAAAAGCCACCACACUAGCCUGUACCAAACAAAGGAAUCUAGAUGGUAUAUGAUACAUAAUAUUUGCAGACAAAUUGGCACCGAGAGAAAAAGAAAAUAGCCUUUUCGAUUUAUUGCAGAGCCAGACAUAUUCGAAACCAUACCAAUAAAGCCGUGACCACAUUUUUCAUAAAACCUAAAAAUACAACAAACCCGUAUGUCUACAUCAAUUACAUCCUGCAAAAAAAGGUAAAUACUCUUUUCAACAAUAUUGUGACAAGUGUACAUAUUGAUGCCUUACUUCCCUACUUUUGGGCUGAAACACUAACAUGCCAACCGUGCACUUAAUUAGAUGGUCCAAUCAAGUGAUAAAUUAAAUCCAGCUCCAAGUGCUACAUUCCAUCAUUUCCAAUAAGCGAGUGGAAUCAGUAUAUAAUACUAUGAUGCAAGAAGAUGGGUAGAGACACCAAACCACUGGACUGGAGGACCGCAGUUACCAGUUGAAUACAUUGUUCAGCGGACUGAAUAGAGCACUCAAGAAAACAUAAGCGAAGCGUAAUUUUUUCUUGCUAUGUUUUAAGGAUGUAACAGCACCAAGCGUUUUUCACAUCAACUCAUGAGUAAAGCAAGUACAAGUAGGAUAACUAAGAAAUCCCCAUAGGCACUGAGAAUUUGACAUACUACACCAUAAACAUUGAGAAUUAGAUAAUCUAUGAAAUCACCAUAAGCCUUUCAAAACAAGAACGCUAUGGUCAUUGAGAAUUUUAUAAACUACACCAUUUGCAACAACAAUCAGCUAAAUGAUAUGUCAAAUAUGUUUAUAACUAAAACAACCAGGACAUCGGAAACCAUAUUCAAGAAGCCUUUCUGACAUCACUAAAUCUCAUGGCCUCAUUCAUUAGAUCGUCACAUGUCAAUUUUAAAUCCAGAGUGAUUUUUGGGAGAAUGUUGCAUAAUGCUUCCACAUCUGGCAUUGCUCUAUGAGAUGGGCCUUCCGAACUGAGACCAUAGCGUUCUCCCAGUGCCACCAAGUUCACAAGAUUUUUCUUUCCUGCAAUAGAACAGAAAAUCCACUUAGAACUAGAUCUACUUGUGCUUCAGAUAUACCAUAAUAGGCAAACAGCACAAAAUCUGCAAUUAAACUGAGAACUGCAAAAUGAUAUAUAUACCACAAGAACCAUUCAAAUACUAGCACAAAUAUGAUUAAUUGAAUUGUUAUACUGAAUUCAUACACAUCGCAACAGAAACACUUUCUGUCUACUACUAUGCAUGAAUAGAAAGAGAUUGCGGUCUUAAAAAGUCCCAGACAGCGCCCCAGAAAGAGCUGUUAGGAUUGUCUUAGCAAGGUGCAAGCAAACGUUAUAUGAUGAGAGGAACCCAGAUGUACGAUGGCAUACCAUCUAUUUUCUUCAACUUUCUCGCCAAACGAAGACUGUCGACAAAUAGCCAAUCUGAAGGAACCUGGGCUGAACAACGGUCAAACUCUUGGUUAAGGAAAGGGACAUCAAAACCUUUUGCAUUAUGAGCAAUCCACAGAACUGGCUUGCCAGGAGCUUGGCGACUUCGAACAUAUGCUAGUAGUAUUGGAAGAACAUCACUGAACCUAUGGUAACCAGAUUAAGAUAGCAUAUAUGGGUAAGUGGAAUGUUGAGCUAAGUGUUAACAAAAAAGAACACACAAUCAAUAAAUUUUUCGUUACAAAGGCUUAAAACCUUCUCUUGCACAGAAAGUUAGCAAAUACUUGCUUAUAAUAAAACCUUUAGUAGCAUGGAUAUUUGCCAAAGGGGAAAAAAUUGAAUGAUCAAAUUCCAAUUUCUCACAUAAAUGAUUACAUUACAUAUUAUGGUCUGUGUUGACAAAGUCAUGUUCAGGAAUGAAGAAUUUGGGACUGAGUAUAUCCCACAAGGCUAAUGUGUGGUGAUGUCAUAACAGUUGUAUUCGGUGCACAAGACCUUUAGUAGCAUGGAUUCUUAUGAGCUAACUAAAUGCCACUUAGAUUUCGGAACAAAAAAGGUUUAACAACAAAAUCUCAAGGGAAACCAGUGAGAGGAUGAAUUCUUUACAAAAAAACAACCAUGCAUUUGCAACAAAUCUAAAAUCUAAAACAUGAAUCCCAGCCGUGCACAUGAAGGGGCUACCAAGGACGCAAGCGGCAUAGUAAAUCAACAAUUGAAAACUGUCUCUAGGUGAUUAGAACAAUUUGCGUUAGUUACAAACAACAGGAUACAUUUUAUUUAGUACUUAAUUUAUUUCAAGUUAUCAUGCAUCCAAGGUGCUGGGUAGUUAUGCUAUCAAGUCGAAGUAGAGCAUGGUGAAUUUUACCUAAUAAUAAUGCUGAAAGGAUAAUACAUCCUACAAACUCAAGCACACAAAAAUUGCAUAAAUCUCACUGAAAGAAAGUUAAUAGUUGAUAAAUUUCUUGCUAGUUAACUAGUUUCCAAAAUGAACCGCAAUGGCAACAGCCCUUUGCCAUUUCACAAUGACCUGAGUGGGUAUUACAGUUCUGGAGAAUAACACUGUAUUAAUGUUCACUAGGCAUUUUACGUUUUAUUUUCAGUACCACAGUAUUUAUAGACACAUUUAUAAACUAAUGUGAAUUCAUGUGACCGCGAGAUGAAGAAUAGCAUUCAUGUACAGAAGAGAAACACACCUUGGGACAUCAGGCCUGCAGACCAAUUCAGUGGUAAUGUUAUUAAGCUCGGAAGCGUAUAUGGGAACAUCCCGUUCAGGAUUAAUGAGAGUCUGAAAUGUGCAAUCCUUUCCUCCAGAAAGGUCACGAAGUGCAAACUCAACAAUUCUAUUAUCCACAUGGAAAAAACCAGUAGUCUCAAGAUCAAAGACAAGAAAAGUUCCAGGUUGGUCAUGUCCAGAAGUUUUCCGAAGCCACAGUGGCGGAAUUGAAGGAACACAAUAGCCUGGGUCAGUUUUGUGCCAACUAACUGCCCCUGUAAGAUUCGUAGCGAAAUUUCGUUUCUCGUAGCUUUUAGGUUGAAGCAAUUUCCCAGAUGAAAAUCCAGCAUGUUGCUUGAGAAACCUAACUGGACAGCUGGUCCGUAUUUUGUUCCUCAGCAGAUUGAAGCGAAGAACUAGUGACGACAUUUUGUGCAAGAUGUGUGCUUGGAAUCAAGACACAGAACAAUUAUUCUUUGACUUAGGUGAACCACGUCUCACACCUGUACAUAUAUAUACAAGUAUACGAAUCCAUUGAUCGUAGUGAAACAAUCAUAUAAAUUAGAGUAGGGAAAAUGAUUACAGACGGUUUAAAAUUCAUCCACAUAUUUUUUGCAGUGACAGUAAAAGUAGCAUUAAACUCUGAAUCUCUGAUGAUCUGAGGUUAUAGGUUUAGAUUGAAUCAAUUGGUAACAUCAAGAUAUUUCUUUUUUCUCCCCGCGAGGACAUUGCCCCAUUGUCAUUCAUCAAAACGGAAAUAUAGGAGUGCUAACAUCAAGAUAUCAAUAACACAAUUCAGAAAUUCACUUUUUUGAUGAUCAAAUGAGAAGUAUUUCCAAACAUCGAGAAACACAUGAUUGAACGCAUAACAAUGACAUUGCUUUACCUCAUCAUAAGUCAGACAAAGAGAAAAAAAAAACUCAGACCACCAAACCUAGAUUACUCUAUACCACUGCAAAAUUACACAGAAAAUGCAACUCCCACAUAGAAUCCUGCAUCGUCUAUUUUCAGCGUUCAUCUCUUACAAGGUUGGGCAUAAGGUUCAGCAAUAACACCCCCAACAUCGUCUCUCAGUUACCAUUGAGCACCCACAGCCCCACCAUUCACGAUCCUUUCUCCUGGAAAUGCAAAAGCUUGCGCCCAAAAUGCAAAGCACCUCUUGCAGAAUCCUCCAAAUCCCCCCUCGAAAAGCUCAGAACUUUCCCCCCAAAUCAUCCGGCCAUAGCUCGCUCGCUCGCUGGCUGGCUCUUGUACUGAAAUGCCCCCAUACCCAAUUCACCACGCAGGGCACCACACGCGCAGUAGCACAUGGAAAGAGGGCGCUUGGGGCGAGUACGAACACUAGCACGCGCGUGAGUGCGCGACUCAAACAAAAAAAAAACGAAGUUAUGCCCACCACCCAGAGAGAGACGGACGGGGAGGGGGAGGCGGAGGAUGCGCUUACCAGGUACGAGAUGCCCAUCGCAAAGCCCGCGCCCCUUUCUCGUCGCCGCCACCGCCGACGGGUUUGGAUGGACGAGGGUUUUAAAGCCAGGCGGUGCAGUGGCAACUGGCAACCGUACGCGGGCAACGCGCGAUGCCGCGACGGCGAGGGGGAUCGAUCGAAUGGGAGGGAGAGGGGUCAGGUCAAGGGUAGGCUAGUCAUUUUAAGUGCCGUGAGUGGGCCACAUUUUUCACUUUACCGCGCUACGUGGUGGGUCCCUGGUUCAGCGACGUGGUGCGUUGCUGCGGUUAAAAAUCGCAAGCAGUUCGUGGGGAGUGGCGACGUGGCCUGUGGGAGGGUUUUUCUUUUCUUUUGACAAUGGGUCUGUGGGAGGUUGGUGUCGCUGCUGAGUGCAAAGUGGAGAGGGAAACUGAAAUAGUAAAAUUACAACUUCUCCUCUUCGGAUCCAAUCUAAAUUUUUUAUAUCCACUGCAACUGCUUUAUUUUUUUUUAUGAUUGCAACUGCUUUAUUAGUACUCCCUCAAACUCUGAUGUUUUAUUAUCGCGAGAUUAACAUCUGAUCCCGUUCCAUAAAUAAAUAAAUAACUCAGUCCCGUUGCUUGCCUGAAUUCAAGUCAGCGUCUGGUAUUAUAGAAGUCCAGAGAGCAAAUUCAGUCCAAAGCUGACAGGCGCCGCGUAGUAUUGCGCAAUUUCUUCAGUUAGCCGCAACCCGCAAAGCUGAACAUUUCUUCCAACUCGUCUCUUUUUUCUUCCUAUCCUACGUGAAUGCGUGAUGCAGCAAACCAUGGCGACUCACGAGGUGUCGUGUUCGCUGCGUUUUUGCGCACAACACAAGGCUACUUGUCUACGUCCACAGGUGGCCCUGGCCAUGUCGUACCUGCCGUCGGGGAUUGCCAUUGGGAUCCCACGCAUCAUGCAUGUAACCUACUAGGAUAAUCCGUCUUUCUGACGACCGGCUCCUCACUGAUCACUGCAGUAAUUUGACACGGGCCUUGUUAAAUAAACGACAUGACAAGAGUUUAAAGUAAUACUAGCAUCAUCCAAUCCGACACCUCCUAGAUGUGAAAGGGAUAUUUGGUAGAGAAUCUUUGCCGGAUGCCGGCCACUAUUGCAUCACACUGUAUCGUGUCCGCAAAGUUCAGUGCAGAAUCUCUUUGUUUAGUUCCUAAAAUAUUUUGUAAAAUUUCUCAGAUUCCUCAUCAUAUUGAAUCUUGCGGCACAUGCAUGAAAUACUAAAUAUAGAUAAAAAAAUAACUAAUUACACAAUUUACUUGUAAUUUGCGAGAUAAAUUUUUUGAGCCUAGUUAGUCCAUGAUUGGACAAUAUUUAUCAAAUACAAACGAAAGUAUUACUAUUCAAAUUUUGUAAAAAAAUUUUGAAGUAAAGAAGGCACUAGUUUUGCUUCCUGUUAGAAUAAUGUAUAGUUGAUUCAUUUUGGCUUCACAGCCCAUCUGGACAGCAUGCCCUGAUCUAUUGCAGAUUGUACGCGCCCAAGCUGGAAGACGAGGCUGGUGCUUGCAUGUAUUGCAAUUUGAAGGUCUCACUCGUCAGCUUCCAUUAGUUUUGUUGUGAAAACAGAACCGGAAACCGCUCAGGUAGCAAAACUCUAUAUGUGUUCUGACCCUCUGACAAUGAACAAGUCUGAAACACGCUCUAUAUAUACACACGCGCGCGCGCACACACAUAUACAUAUAUAGUCAAGUAUGCUACAUGAUGUUGCCUACUUGGCUGAUGUAAAACAUUAACGACACGCAGCGAAAUUCACUGUUUCUAGUUCUCAGUUUCUCACAAUUCAACGAGAUCAAACUAGAUUAAUCAGGAUCUCUAGCUGAGACACAACACAGAACUACUUGUAUACAACAGCUGAGAUGUAUAUUUUAGUGGUGUUAUUAUCACUUGGGCUGGACAUGGUAUAGAAAUGUAGGCUUCUCCCAUAUCCCUAUUUAACGCGUGCAUUCAGACGAGUUCAUAGCUCCAUCAAUUUUACACAGGGCCUCGUUGAGUCGUUGUGUAGAGAAAAUGGUUAAUCCUAAGUUAAUACUUUAACAUUAUCCAAUCCAAUCCGACAUCUGACAGUCUCCAAAUUGCAAUGUGAAAAGAAUAGCUGACAGGAUCUUUGCCCAUGAUGCAUCAUUGUACGUGUUAUAUCUCUCAUGAUCCGGUGUAGUUUCUGAUUCUUGAAAUCCAUCUAAAUGUAUCAGCCUGUCUAGUUGAGACGCCAUAACUUGCGUACAAGAAGAUGAGGUACUUUUUAUGUCAUCGUUUGGACUGGACAUAAGAUUCCAGCCUUCCAGGCACGAGCUCUGGACUGGACAAAAAUGAAUUGUUCGUGCCAAUUAACAGAAACGACACUGCAAAAUGACAGGAUGACAGGAAUCUGAAAAUGUUUGUCACAGACAAUACAAGCGCGGAACUCCAAACCCAAGUUGGCGUCUGCUCUAUCCUGUCUUCAGCGUCCAUGUGCGUGCACCGUGCAGUCAGGAGAGCCUGCACGGCUACAAAACUGCAUGCAGCAGCAGUAUCAUGCCAUCAUGCACUGCUCUGAAACAUUUCACUGAAAUCGCUGAUCUAGUUGUUCAUUCCUCAUUCCUCCAUGCAUACAUGGCAUGCCCACAUGCAAAUAUGCUGCCACAUCAGAUGCUCAGGAAGUCUGGAAGGGUUCCCUUGCUAAAUAACUUUAAUCACUUUAGUAGCUAAACUUUCAAACACACUGACUAAAAAGAAGCUAAAAUAGAAAAAAAAGCUAAAAUAGUUUAAUCACAUUAGUCACCUAAGAAUAGCUAAAAUAAUUUUAGCUGACUAAAGUUUAGAAAGAGAAUCAAACAGGCACUAAGCCUCACGGGCGCACAACAACACAAUGACACCAUCUGAUCUGACUGAGUGUUUAAAUACCCACACGGGCACACCACGAGACCCCUGCUCCAAUCCACCACUCCACUCCAAGUCACACGGGCAGCCGUCUCAGCCUCGCCCGACUCCGCUCCCCCUGUGCGUUCGGUGAGUUCUCUACUGAUCCAUCCUCCCCUGAAAAUCUUCGCAUCGCAUCUGAAUGUUUAAUCCGUAAUUCGUUCCCCCGGUCCGGCUGGUUCUUCUUGUAAUCAAUUCGUGUUCAGUGAGUUCUCUACUGAUCCUCUCCCCUGCAAAUCUUCUGCCGUGUGAUUCUGAGCAAGGAUCGGGGUAAUCGUUCGUCUCGGUAGCUGGAAUCAAUUGGAUCGAUUCGCGUCUUUUGUAGUGCUGAUUUAUGUGAUGCCCGCUAGGCUAUGAGAGAAUGCCUGAAACUCUGCAUGCACGAAUCAUUCUGAUGUUGAGGUCUUGUUGCUUUGCCAUGUUUUGAUUUGUUUUCAGACAAGAGGAAAUCUCUGCUUAUAUUGAAAGCAUAGUCCAUGUUUUCAUUUUUUUUCUUAAUCUUUAUUGAUUUCUCUGUGUAGAAUUAUACGGCAAUCCCCACAUGUUCUUGUUAUUUCUCAUCAUCAGUCUCUACUCUCAAGAGAACACUAUUAUAUCGUUCUGAAUUCUGAUGAUGGAAAGUGGAACAUGUGCUAUUAGCAGAUCAGAAGUUGUUUGAACUGCCGACGAACUGGAGCUAACUGUGAGAUUGUUUGGCCAGAGACAUGGAGCUGAUCACAAAUGUCACCGAGUAUGAGAAGCUCGCCAAGGAGAAGCUGCCCAAGAUGGUGUACGACUACUAUGCCUCCGGCGCAGAAGAUCAGUGGACGCUCAAGGAGAACAGGGAGGCCUUCUCCAGAAUUCUGUAAGCCAAGCUACCUUCCAAAACAGUAGGUUUUAGCCGUAUUCGAUUGGUAGCACACCGCUGAUUCAACUGUUCUUGUUUUUACUUACGUCAGCAGCUAAUAAUUCAAUGAAAGUCAGGAACUUUAUGGAAAACGUUCAGAACAAAUAUACAAGGAUGACAUAUAUUUUUUGAUAUCAUGUUUUGCUUUCUAUAAAAGCAGGGUUUAUCUCUGUCAAAAAAAUACAUCUUUUUGAUAUCUGAUAGAAACUGUCAUGUAUCAAGAAAAACCAUAUUGCUAUCAUUUUCAGUUUUCGAGAGUGUAUAGGAUAAUGCAUGAGGUGCCUCUCCAAUCCUUGUGGAAAAAUGUAAUAGCUUCAUGAUAACAAUUAGUCUGAGGUCACUCUGUCCAAUUGUUUAGUCUAAGCGGAUAAAAUCACCUUUGAUUAAUAAAAGUAAAUGGUAGCAAAGUGGACCAAUCACAUGGAGUAGAGGACAAGAGAUCAGAUGUGUCUUGUGACUUGUGGCCUGCAUGGUCAAAAGAAGAUGGCAACUUCAUUAGAAACUCUCAGAUACGACACAUGACAUUAGAAAUGCAUGGACAUGUGCAGAAUUACUUUCCUCAUAGGUUUCAGCUCCUCGGUCAUGCAUCUCAACUCUGAAUUUUCAUACAGAUGGCGUUGAGUGUAUGGCAUUUGGCAUGUUGGUAGUAGACCUUAAAUAGUUAUCUACAAGACUUUUUGCUCAUUAACUCUGUAACCAUUCCCAUGUGUAACAAGAGUAAGAAUUAAUUCAUCCACAACACAAACACUGACAUCAACUCAAGUUUUAGAAAAAGGAGACAGUGCAUAUGAUAAUCAGGAACGAAAUGUACCAGUUCCUCUUGGCCUCCUUUGUUCUCUGAGAACCUCAUUUUGUGCUUCCUUGUGGAAAUGGUUACAGGUUUCGACCACGGGUACUGAUUGACGUCUCCCGUAUCGACAUGGCCACAAACGUCCUGGGCUUCAACAUUUCCAUGCCUAUCAUGAUCGCUCCUUCAGCCAUGCAGAAAAUGGCUCAUCCUGAUGGUUCAGACGAAUGCUCAAUUACGAUUUUCUACUCAUUUUUCAAAGUAAAGUUCUCAUGGAGAAAUUAUGUGGAAUGCAGGAGAGCUUGCUACGGCAAGAGCAGCAGCCUCUGCAGGAACAAUAAUGGUUUGAAAGAUCACACUGCUUGUGGCACCUCAGUCAUGAACUGAACACUAAUCCAUUGUGCUUAUCCUAUGUCUGGUCUUAUGUUUUUUUUUCAGACACUGUCCUCAUGGUCUACUUCCAGCGUUGACGAGGUCAACUCAGUUGGGCCAGGGAUACGUUUCUUCCAGCUCUAUGUAUGCAUUAUCUGCAUGAACUUGCAAGAAUGCUUGUGCUCUGUUCAUCAUACUCAGGCCGUUUAGUUCAAAAAAAUUUGUAAAGUUGACACUGUAGCACUUUCGUUUCUAUUUGAUAAAAAUUGUCCAAUCAUGGACUAAGUAGGCUCAAAAGAUUCGUCUCGUCAAUUUCGACCAAACUGUGCAAUUAGUUUUUAUUUUCAUCUAUAUUUAAUACUCCAUACAUGCGUCUAAAGAUUCGAUGUGACGGAGAAUCUGAAAAAUUUUGCAAAAUUUUGGGAACUAAACAAGGCCUGAUCUUACCAUGAACCAUCUGUCUCCAUCAGGUCUACAAGGACAGGAAUAUAGUACGGCAACUCGUGAAAAGGGCUGAAAUGGCUGGCUUUAAGGCUAUUGCACUCACUGUAGAUACUCCAAUACUUGGCCGCAGGGAAGCUGAUAUAAAAAACAGGUGCGAAUCUAACUACUGAACCCAGUGUUCUGUACAGGAUGAAUGUUCAUUGUUUCUAUUAGGAGUCCAAUACACGCUGCAUAUGCACUCUGAAACCGUGCAGAUUCACCUUACCUCCACAUCUGACGUUGAAAAACUUUGAAGCGCUGGAUCUCGGCACGAUGGACAAGGUUACCUGAAAACUGAGCUUGACUUAGGGCUAUAAAAAAUGCAUCUAUUUCUUCAGGUUUUCUUACCAAAUAUCUCUUGAUGUGUCAGACAAACGACUCUGGACUUGCUUCCUAUGUUGCUGGUCAAGUUGAUCGCACUCUUUCCUGGAAGGUAUUACCUGCACACCCUAGCUUCCUAGUUUCAGAUAACAGCUAAUCUGAAGUUUGACAUAAAUGGAAGAUGCACUCACAAAAACACAAAUGCAAUAGUGUCUCACUUCUACUUGCAUUCAAGUGUUAUAGUAUGUGGCAAUAAAAUGCUGAUAAGUAGCAAUGCAACAAACAGGACAUCAAGUGGCUGCAGACAAUUACCUCACUGCCAAUCCUAGUGAAAGGAGUCGUGACAGCAGAAGACAGUAAGUGUUCAGUUUCAGACUUUCAGACUUUGAGGUGCAGCUUCAGUUUCGCAUCAACAUUAACACAUAUACGCAAUGCAGCUAGACUUGCAAUUGAAUAUGGCGCUGCUGGGAUCAUUGUGUCCAACCACGGCGCACGCCAGCUAGAUUAUGUUCCUGCAACUAUCAGCUGCCUGGAAGAGGUACGCUAACCAUCCUUCUGUAUUCAGAUUCAGAGCUUCAGUGGUUACGUUUUCCAGAAAAGAACAGACAGCUUCAUUAUGAAUAGCCGAGUCUUCAGAAGAAGCUUGCUUGUGCUUCCUGGCUUUCCAUCUUCCAUGUCUGCUGAGGUUUUUACGCGAAGUGUCAUGUGAAUUCAGGUCGUCAGGGAAGCGAAAGGCCGGCUGCCGGUGUUCCUCGACGGCGGCGUUCGCCGUGGCACGGACGUGUUUAAGGCCCUUGCGUUGGGAGCUUCAGGAGUAUUCGUAAGGACGACACGCGACUGCCUGCUAACCUGUUAUUUCGUUCAAGCUCGAAGACACCUGACACUGUUGCUUGGUGCUGCAGAUCGGCCGGCCGGUGUUGUUCUCGCUGGCAGUGGACGGCGAGGCCGGCGUGCGGAAGGUGCUGCAGAUGCUGAGGGACGAGCUGGAGCUCACCAUGGCGCUCAGCGGCUGCACGUCGCUGAGGGAGAUCACCCGCGCCCACGUCAUCACCGACAGCGACAGGAUCGGCCGCUCGCGGCUGUAGCUGUAGAAUGCACAGUUCAGCUCGGCAUGUUGGUCUCGACUGAACUAUCCACUGUCCUGAUUCAAGAUACCGCUAUUUGUAGCUGUUGUGCUCUCAUUUUACGUUAGGCAAAUAAGGAAGCUGCAUAUGUGUCAAUGUGUGUGUGCCUGUUGAUGACGUUUGUUUGCACAAUUGCACCGCAGUCGUAGUUGCCAGUGUUGAUCACUUGAUUGGCGUUGCUGGUUGGUUUGGGUUCUCGACACAUGGAAAGGAGUUUAUGAGAUUUUGGGUCGGUUUAGUAUACUAACCCAUCAAUCUCGUAUAAAGUUAUAAUCUUAUAAGAGUCAUAAAUUGGUCGAAAAAAUCUUAGAAGUCAUAAGUAUCGGAUGUUAUGAGUUAUGACUCCCUCCAUUGGAAUGAUAAUCAUAUUUUCAAUAGAAAAAAUUAGUAUUAAAAUUUUCUAACUCUUAAUUUAUGUUAUAAUAUGUUGCCAUUUGUCAAAGCCAAAAAUCAAUAUCAUUCUAGAGUCACCUCGAAAACAAUCUACUUAUAGAUUCAAAUAAAAAAGGGUCAAUUAUGCAACUGCCCCUAUUCUGAAGUCCAAUUGCUCGUUUGCUCCUAUUUUUUAAACUUUGCUCGUUUGCUUCUGUUUUUUUUAAACCGAAAGUUCUAGUUGUCCCUGUCUGAAAGGACUAAAAUGCCCUCGACGUCCUCGCAGCUGUCACUCUUGGCGAGCCGUGUCCACCGUGCGCGGAUAGGCCGGCCCGACGGUGCGCGUGGCCGCCCGCCUGCUGUGACGGCGCGUGUGGCCCCCGCCUCCAGCGACGGCGUGCGCGGCCGCCCGCCUCCAGCGACGGCGCGUGCGGCCCCCGCCUCGCGCGAAGGAGCGUGCGGCCCCCACCUCCCGCGAUGGCAUGCUCGCCUGCUGUGACGGCGCGUGCGGCCCCUGCCUCCCGCGACGGUGUGCGCGGCCGCCCACCAACAGCGACGGCGCCCGUGGCGGCGCGUGCGGCCCCUGCCUCCUGCGCCGGUGCUCGCCCCCCGCGUCUCGUGACGGCGUGCUCGCCUGCUCGGUGUCGGCGGCCGCCCGCUUGACCUAGCGUCGCCGGUGCCUUGGGAUGGAGAGAGACGAGAAGAGAGAAUGGGUGGUGUGAUGUCUGUUUAGGAUAAGUGUAGUCUUUUUUCUUUUUUCUUCUUUUACAAACAUCUCCCAACUGAACUCACGGCCGGCAUCGCAUCGAUUUUCCUCGCCAGAUGCCCGGAGCCGGUCCGCGUCAUGCCGAAGCGUCUCAUCCAACUAGGCGCCUAGUAGUUCUCAGUCCAUCGCUAUCACAACCAACAGCUUCAUCGCCUACUGGGCACUGGCUACUGCCGGGGGAAGGGAUGGCGAACUCGUCCCCGAUAGCUACAGCCUACAGCUACAGAACGUCGAAUUCCAUAGCCGAUCCGAACAGCAGGUGCGAACAGUUUAGCCACGAAUUUACUUCGAGCAGAAGUGCUCCUGUCUGAUACUCGAAUCGGAACGCAUUAUUCGCAGGAGAUAUUUUAGAAAACCCACUUGCACUGUCACUGUCGGUCACUGCUGAUAGAUCGGAUAUUCAGAUACCAAUCACAUUAUCUUCUCUUUGCAUAUGCACCCAGAGGGCGAAAUUGGUUACCAAAAACCAAACACUUUCCAGCAUAUUAUACAUGCAAAGGGCGAAUUGGUUACCAGUUACCAACACUUUCCAGCAUAUGCACGCAAAGGACGAAAUUGAUUACCAAAUCAAACAGUUUCCAGUCCCAGCGGUAGGAACAGACCGUCACCAGCCAAAGGAUAAUCCAUUCCCUCACACAGGCACAAACGCUGAACCUGCUCUCCGCAGUCUAGUAAGUCCUCUUGUUGGUCCCUCCUGCAAGGCUUUGUUGUUAGUGCUGUUUCUCCCCAUCUUAAUUUGAUUGGAUCUGUGUCGAUUUAUUGAAAAGAUGCAUGAUGUUUGACUUCCAUUUCAGUUCAUCAUACUGUGGAGUUUGUUUUGAUUUGUAGCUUAGCACUGAUAUUUCGUCUUAUCUUAUAUAUUGUUUCGAUCGUCUCACAUGUUUCCUCAGUUUGCUUCAGUGCAGUUCAUGAAUUGCCUUCAUCCUUUGCUCGUGUUGUUUUUGCCCCCUUCUUGACAGAUAUAUGUCAACCACGAAACAAUUUUUUUUCUGACCUUCUGAAUUUCCCCCAAAUUUGGGCAGGGAGAUGGCGUUGAUCACGAAUCUCUCUGACUAUGAGGAGCUUGCGAGGCAGAAGCUGCCUAAGAUGGUUUAUGACUUCUAUGCCGGGGGUGCAGAAGACCAGUGGACGCUCAAGGAGAAUAAGGAGGCAUUCUCCAAGAUUUUGUAAGCUAUCUUCCAGAUUAUUAGGUCUUAGCUGUGUUUAUAAGCUCAACUGAUUGACCUACAUCACUUCAUCCACUUGUGAACUUUUUGGAUUUUGUUUUAGGUUUUCAAAAGACGUUUUGUAGCCUUAACAUUUGAGAUCUGAACUGUAGCGUAAAAUGCAAAGAAACUGACAAACAUUUUUGCCUAGUUUGAAGAACCGCAAGCAUGCAAGUUUAUCUUUAGUGAAUACAAACAUGUUCUCCUAUUCUUAUUUCUUUUGCAGAAAAUAUAUGAGUCAUGAAAUGUCGCUUACAUUUGUUUAUCUUCUUUAUUCAGUACAAUCCAAUUAAAUUGUUCAAGUUUUGCUCUUUUGUGUUUGAUCCAAAUUAGAAUCAAGAAAAGAAAGGAGAUAUUGAGAACCUCAUUGUGUCCAUCUAAUGAACGGUAUUAGGUUUCGACCACGGGUGCUGAUUGAUGUGUCUCGUAUUGACAUGUCUACGAGUAUACUGGGUUACAAAAUUUCCAUGCCUAUUAUGGUGGCUCCCACUGCUUUGCACAAACUGGCCCACCGAGAAGGUUCUAUCUUGUUAUAAUUCACCUUUCUUCCUCUUUUGGCAACAUUAAAAGGAAAGUUCUUUUACGGAGGUUCAUCUGAAAUGCAGGAGAGGUUGCUUCUGCCCAGGCAACAGCUGCUGCAGGAACUAUAAUGGUUUGCAAGAUUGCACCUUUUUAUUGGCUAAGUGAUGACUCACAUAUUAAUUCCUUUACUGGUUACAUUUUCAGACAUUGUCUUCAUGGUCAUCUUGCAGCAUUGAGGAAGUUAACUCAAGUGCACCAGGACUCCGUUUCUUCCAACUUUCAGUAUGAAGUUCACGCUCAUCAUUACAUAUUUACAUUCUUACCUUUUUCCCUGCUUGAUUUGAUCUUUCCUCUGUUUACUGUCAUUGCCAUAUUUAGGUAUUCAAGGACAGGGAUAUUGUGCAACAACUUGUCAGAAGGGCUGAAAAUGCUGGCUAUAAGGCAAUUGCUGUCACAGUCGAUGCUCCACGGCUUGGUCGCAGGGAAGCUGAUGUUAGGAACAGGUCUGCAUCUUGAAUAUAUACAAUGUAGUUUAAGCAGGAGUUCUGUAUCUGAGCAAUAAAUACUUUACAGCUAAUUAUGUAUUGCUCUAUGUGUUAUAGAUUCACACUGCCUGAAAAUGUGGUAUUGAAGUGCUUUGAAGGACUGGAUCUCAGCAAGAUCGACAAGGUUGACUGAAAACUGAGAUCGUCCAGUUACAUGGUGUUGAAAUUGAGAUGUAUAUAGUUGAUUUCAUUUUUAUUUUAUUUUCACAACAACUGUUUUGUGAUAUUUGAUUUUUCAGACUAAUGCUUUAGGCCUUGCUGCAUAUGUCACUAGCCAGAUUGACAGCUCUCUUUCUUGGAAGGUAGGAUUUGCAACAUGCUAAUGUUAAUUGCUAUGAAUGACUUCAACCAUCCGAGGACAGUGACAUAUCUCAUGUAUAUACCUCAGUGAAAAUGAACUAUCAACAUGGCAGUGCAGGAUAUCAAGUGGCUACAGACGAUUACCCGGUUGCCUAUCUUAGUGAAAGGAGUCAUAACAGCAGAAGAUGGUAAGUAUUUGGUUUUCAGUUAUUUUUUUAAUGCUACACCACUCAACCAGAUCUAUGAUCCCAUAAAACAUUUGCAAAUUUGCAGCUCGACUUGCUAUUGAAUGCGGUGUUGCCGGCAUUAUUAUGUCUAACCACGGGGGCCGCCAGCUAGACUAUCUUCCUGCAACCAUCAGCUGCCUGGAAGAGGUAUGCAAAUCAAUCACAGGCACGUUUGCACAGCUGCCAAGGAUAUCUCUGGUCAUGUCUUGAUGCUAACUUUCCUUGGCAAGGAAAAUUUCAGGUUGUAAGAGAAGCAAAGGGUCGUGUGCCUGUGUUCCUUGACAGCGGCAUCCGCCGUGGCACUGACGUGUUCAAGGCCUUGGCACUGGGAGCCUCAGGAGUAUUUGUAAGUCUGCUGCUGGAUUACUCUGACUGAACGCAUGAACAUUUGUUGACAUGUACUGCAUCAUGCGUUCGUGUUUGUCCUCUGUCAGAUUGGAAGGCCUGUACUGUUCGCCCUUGCUGUAGACGGCAAGGCAGGGGUGAGGAAUGCACUGCAAAUGCUGAGGGAUGAGCUCGAGAUCACCAUGGCGCUGAGCGGUUGCACGUCGCUGAAAGAUAUCACCCGCGAUCAUGUUAUCACUGAGAGCGACAUGAUCCGUCGCUCUCGGAUGUAGAGGCUUUGAUUCGUUUGCUGUUGUGCAGCACUGAAAGUCUGUUGCCCUGGCAUGACUGUCUUGGCCCAUCGGAUUGGUUUUUACCUCUUGGCCCAUGCGCUACUAGGUUCAUUUGGGCUUUUUCUCACUUCUCUGCAUCUACCAUUCAGACUAUUGACCCAUCAAGCCUUGAGGGCUUACAAUUUCAAAGGCUGACCCAAAUGAAGACAUGCCGGUCACUCUAUGACUUCAUCAUUUUCAGCCUAAUUUUGCUCAGCUGUGCUUGAUAAUAUAUGCUUCAACAAGUCAUAAAAUUGCAUAUCAAACAGGUCGAGUUUUGACACCGGCCAAAUGACUGAUAUAGGGCGCAGGAAUGGUAUUAAUUUGGUUGAGCGGAGAAACCUUGUUCACCGUCGACAAAAACAUUUGAGACAUAAAAAGUCAUAGUUUCUGAAUAAUGCAUUCAAAUGAAAUUAUGAUUGCACCAUUGUGUUUCUUAUGAUAAAAUAUUAAAAACAACAUCCCUGGUUUGAUGCAUUUUGGAUUAUAUUUUCUUAGAUAAUAUUUUGUAAUGAAGCAAAAUUUUUAUUGAGUCAAACAAUGUCCUUGGUUUACAGCUUUAUGGAACACCCGUUCCAAUAUUUAAGAAAAAAAAUUCUAGGCUUAGAUCCAAUAGAAAAAUGUUUCACGGUUCAUGAGAAAAAGGUUCCACCUUAAGAAACAAGAAAGAAAAAUAAGAUAAAGCUGUAAAGAAUUUGUUUGAAACAAUGAACGGGCCCAUAUUUCUAGGCCCGUUCGUUUCCGCUGGCCUCGGCCGAACAGCCCUCCGACUGGGCUAUAUCCGUUCUCCCGGCGUGCUCCGUUCGUCUCCUCUCUCAGCGCGACGACUACCUCGCUACAGCCGACGCCGCCGUCGCCGCCCUACGGCCCAGAUCUUCGUCGGUCUCUUCUCCGGCAACGAGCACCCGAAGAUGGUAUGCCCGCCCCUUCUCUUCGCGAAACCGAGCAGCACCCAAAGCCUAACCUAAGCUAUUUUUCAAUUUGUAAUCGGACCUGAUCUAAUCGCAAGCGCAUACAUGAAUUAUGCUAUGCCUACUAACUUCGAUUGUUUUGCGAAACAGUUAUCCUUUGUUGGGUCCGCCCCCUGAUCUGUGUGGCUUUGUUCAGGUGGUCCUGCAACCAGAUCGGUUCCUGAGCGAUCUGACGAGCAUGUACGAGCGGAGCACGGAGAAGGGAUCCGUGUGGGUCACCAUGAAGCGAUGUGAGUGAUCUCUCUACUGCGUGUUGAUUUGCUGAUUGGAGCGGCUGAGAAGUUGAGGUCUGACCUGAUGCGGCGUUGUUGUUAUUUUUUUGGGGGGCAGCGACUCUGAAGAGCAAGGCACAGUUGCAGAAGAUGGAGAAGAAGGGGCAGGAGGUUGAGCACAGGUGCCUCGUCCGCGCCUCUGAUGGCAAGAAGAGCAUCUCUACCUCGGUACUGUGACUAUCCUUGUGCUGCUGCUGGGAUUAGUUUUGGAUAAGAUUGCUGGUGUUGUGCAUACUUUGUAGUGGUGAUUGGUCAGCAGUUUGCUAGAAUAUUCAUUGCUGAUUAUGUGCAUUCGGUUGCUAUGAGUAUGAAUUUAGGAUCAGACAUUUCCUUAUGUAUUUGCUGUAUGCUAAAACAUCAUGGUCACUGAUUAUGGACUCGCAGUGGUAGGGUGUGCCAUUCUGUGUUCUCUCAUAGGGAAUGUAUAUGGAUGUAGAAAAAGUAGAUGGAAACCCUAGAAGCUUAGUAAAUCGAAACAGUGUCCUCAAUAUCUAGAAAUCAUGUGAGACUAGUGGAGUGAGUCAGGGCCAUGGCCACAUGGGGUAGAGCAUAUAGCUUCAGCAGUAUGUGGAGCUUCAGCAUUCUAGCAUGAUGGUAAGUAGAGAGAAACUAUAGAAAUCGUCUUGUACUGGAAUCCAUAGGAUAUCAUUGCUAAUAAUAUAUAUUAUUUAUACAUUAGUGUUUUUUGAGUUGUAAUUUAUUAACAACGGAAUAGCAUAAACAUAAUUUGGUUUCUAUUGUUGUAAUUCUUGCAAACUUUGGUGCAUGACACGAGCAAGCAAUAUGCUUAACAUUCAGCUAGUUUGUUAAUCUAAAAGAAAUGUUUAUGGUUACCACAUAUGCUUAGCAAUUGUAUCUGUUGUAGUUCCUAGGUUUGUGAAUCCCUUUCAAGUAUUGCAUCUUUUCAUGCCCUCACCAAGUCUUUCUUUCAUCAAUUGUGGAGAACUUGAGAUAUCUCACUUAUAAGCAUCAAAUGUGUAAAGAAUGAGAGUCAUUUACUUGCUCUGUUUAAUUUGUAAUUGCAUUUAACAGUGAUGACGCUCAUUGGUUUCUACAUUUUAGCUGUUGGUGAAAUCCUUUAUCAAGGUUAUAUGUUAACUUUUCACCUCAAAAACAGUGAGGAAUGCAACUUUUUUUAUGUGUGUAUAAUAAUAUUCCUAAACAGUCAGUUUGGACACCUUUCCAGUUACAGACAGGCAUGACAUGUUUAGAGUUCCUAUUCCUCUUCUAAAUAAGUAAUUUCCUUGAACUUGUAUUUAACGAUGUGAUGAUAUAAACUAUUCCAUAUCUAAGGAUAAAAAUAUUGGUACUUUGCAUAAAAAUAUUGGAGGAUAUUUGUGAACUCCAUGUCCACAUAAAAACUCACAAGCAAUAUUAGUAACUUUGCAUUUUCUUCAUCAUGGAACUGUGACUGCAAGGCAAAUUGUAUUCUGGUAACACAGAUUAAGUAUGUGAUUAGUUUUCAAAUAUUGUGCACAUUACUUGUCUCAAAUUUGUGCAUAGCCAAAUUAUUCAUCUUCUUGACCAAAUGCUUCACUAGAGAUUGAUAAGCCUGCUAGUGUUAUAUUUACUUAGAUGUUGACAUUGGUAUUUUUCAUUCAAUGUCUUCCAAGGUGAGCACUCAUUUGCAAUUUCUUUUGUUGUUGUUAUGAUUCAUGAGAAAUUCACUGCUCCGUAAACAGUAUUCCAGCUUGUUGGAACUCUAUGUUUACUCUCAGGUCUUUUGCAUGGUUCAUGGAAUGAAUUCACAAAACUUACUGUAAUUCAACUUCUGAUAUCCUCCAGGUCUCUCUAAAGGAGUACGCAAAGUUCCAAGCUUCAUACGCAACAGUCCUUAAGGCCCAUAUGCAUGCUCUGAAGAAAAGGGAGAGGAAAGACAAGAAGAAGGCUGCAGAUGCUGAGAAGGCAGUUGAGACCGCACCCAAGAAGCAGCAGAAGAAAGCAUCUUCAAAGAAAUCUUCGGGGUCCAAGUCAUAAGACGCUCGCAGAACUCACUGUGUGUCUACUGCUAGACUAAUCAGAGUGUCGUGAAGUUUUUCGUAUCUGGUUUUUAUCCAAAUUCGUGUCUGGGAGAUGAAAGCCUGUGAAUACACCUAUAUAGAGCCGUGCCAUCGAUACUAGCAUUUUUGAACCAGAGUUUUGAGGUGAAUGUGAGGCGCUGUGGUGUCCUGAUUGACAUUAACGAAGAUACAUAAGUUUUGAACUUUUAGGUGCUGUUUGGUUGCAUAUAAAGGUAAAGGCCUUCUGAACUUUUAGUGCUGUUUGGUAGAGAAUAUCUUCGUCGGUUGAAUGGGAAGGGAAUCAAUGAUUGCAUGUUGUGUUUGGUUCACCCUUGGUAACAGGGUGGAUGCGAGUGCAAAUGCACAAUCGGUUGCUGCUCAGAUCGGGCGUAAUCUACUUACUGAAGCAUGGGAUGAUGGGAUUGAUUAUCCUAUGCAUGUCGGAUCCUAUCGAUAGUUAAGCAAAUCCCAUUGAUGGUGAAGCAAACAGAAAAUGAUAUAUGCUUCACCAUUAAUUCACUGUGAUUGGAUAACGUCAAAAAAAAAGCUUGAAUCAAAUGACAUCUAAAGACCUUAUCGUCGAAAUCUGGUGCAAUUUGCAAGGCUCAUUGGUACUGAACUACUGAUAGAAUAAGGUAUGGACCUUAUAAUUUUUAAGUCUGUGAAUAUACUUAUAUAGAGCCGUGCGCCGGUAAUACUCUCUUCGUUCCAAAUAAAUUGUAAGUUGCUUUAUCUUUUUUAUUAUAAAAUAAUAUAUCUAAAUACGUACAAUUUGGAACGGAGGGAGUAAUAUUUUUUAAGCAGAGUUUCCAGGUGAAGGUGAGCCGGUGUGUUUUCUUGACUAGCAUCAACAAAAUAGACAUGAGUUUUGUACUUUUAGAUCCGUAUCGAAUGCUGGGUCUUGUUUAGUUCUAAAAAAAAUUACAAAAUAGAUACUGUAGCACUUUCGUUUGUAUUUGACAAAUAUUGUCUAAUCAUAGACUAAAUAGGUUAAGAAGAUUCGUCUCGUAAAUUAUAAGUACACUGUGCAAUUAGUUAUUCUUUUAUCUAUAUUUAAUAUUCUAUGGAUGUGCCGCAAAGAUUCAAUGUGACGAAAAAUCUGAAAAAUUCUACAAAUUCUUUUUAGAACUAAACAAGGCCCUCAUUGGUACUGGCAAUUCGGUAUGGGGGUAUUAUUUCGAGUUUGCAGUUAGUGUAGCGCUGCCGAAUCUGGUACAAAACAACCAAAACGCCUUGUAAUUUAGAACAAAUGGUGUAUAAGGCUAUGCUUAUCUAUUGCUUUUCUGCUUACACUUAACUGUCUGCGAAAGGGUUAUGUCGCGAUUGAGAUUCCCACAAUCCCAUAUGGUAGUGGUCGUCAGAAUAUAAUUUCUAUAUAGGCCUUGUUUAGAUGCGAAUUUUUUUUGGAUUUCGCUACUGUAGCACUUUUGUUUGUUUAUGGCAAAUAUUGUCCAAUUAUAAACUAACUAGGAUCGAAAGAUUCGUCUCGUGAUUUACAGGUAAACUGUGCAAUUAGUUUUUAUUUUUGUCUAUAUUUAAUGCUUUAUGUAUGUACCGAAAGAUUCGAUAUGAGUGAAAAUCUUGAAAUUUUUUUAGUUUUUGGGGUAAACGCCAUAGUUUCAGGAUGCGUCGAUCGGUGCAUAAACUCACGAGGACCCGAGGCCGGACGCUGACAUCCGUUUAUCCCUAUGGCAAACAUAUGAGCCUGUGGCUUCCUUUCCUGGUCUCUUUCAGGCACUGUAGUUGGUGAAAUGAAAAAUUUUUAGCCACUGUAGCACUUUCGUUUGUUUGUGAUAAAUAUUGUUCAAUUAUAAACUAACUAGGCUUAAAAGAUUCAUCUCGUGAUUUACAGGCAAAUUGUAUAAUUAGGCUUUGUUUUUUACUAUAUUUAGUGCUCUAUACAUAUGCCGCAAGAUUCGAUGUGAUGAGAAAUCUUAAAAGGUUUUUGGUUUUUGGGUCAACUAAACAAAGCCUCAGUCGUUCUGUCACCAGCCCACCAUAUCUCAAAGUGUCUGAACUCUCAAGUUCUCUACAAGAAAUGCAUAGCAACGAAAACUUUGGUGUAUACCACAUGCAUUGUAUUUUUUAAUAGAGUUUUCUCAGCGCAGUAAGAAACAUCUUUCAAUGGAUUUGGUUAGAAUCGCCCGAAUGCGACGAUAUCACAAUUUGUCAGCCAUUAAACAUUCUUAUGUGCUGCCAAAUCAGCAAUGCUGUGCUGAAGAAUCUUUCAUUUGUUUUAUUUACAGGACCACAACUCGACUGAAUGUCUGAAUCGCAGCAAUCUUUUUAUCCCGAUCCGAACCCCAAAGCGUGGAUGGAAACAAAACCCUGCAGUUCUGCAGCGAGUGGGUGAGGUUUGGUGAGUCGAGGAGCUGUCACGAUCCACCACCAAACCGGACUUCUGCACUGAUCACUCACUGAUCCGUCAUCACCACUAAACCUGCUGCUGCCUUUUGCUACGAGCGCGCGCACCACCAGUCCACCACCCACCACACCCGACCGAUCCCGAUCUCACCGAACCCCCCCGCCACCUGCCUGCCGUGCCGGGGCUCGCCGCUCGCCACGAUGAGGGGCCUCCUCGCGUGCGCCAGUACCCUCGCCCGCCGCGCCACCGCGCCCGCGCGCGUCCGCCACCUGGCGGGCGCGGCGGAGGCGGCGGAGGCCGAGCUCAAGAAGACGGCGCUGUACGACUUCCACGUCGCGCACGGCGGCAAGAUGGUGCCGUUCGCCGGCUGGAGCAUGCCCAUCCAGUACAGGGACUCCAUCAUGGACUCCACCGUCAACUGCCGCGCCAACGGCGGGCUCUUCGACGUGGCCCACAUGUGCGGCCUCAGCCUCAGGGGCCGCGACGCCAUCCCGUUCCUCGAGUCCCUCGUCAUCGCCGACGUCGCCGCGCUCAGGGACGGCACCGGCACGCUCACCGUCUUCACCAACGACAAGGGCGGCGCCAUCGACGACUCCGUCGUCACCAAGGUCACCGACCACCACAUCUACCUCGUCGUCAACGCCGGGUGCAGGGACAAGGACCUCGCCCACAUCGAGGAGCACAUGGAGGCGUUCAAUAAGAAGGGCGGAGACGUCAAGUGGCACAUCCACGACGAGCGGUCGCUGCUCGCAUUGCAGGUCACUGCCGUUUCUUUCCCCCCUCUUGGCCUGCACCUGCGCCCGUUCAUGCUCUGAUUCAGUUGAUGACGCGACGGGUAUAUGUACUGGUUUUUAGGAUUAUAUUGGGGAAUGGAGGUUUUAGGAUAUGGAGAUAUGCUCACGAUAGAAUGACGACAGGCCAAGUGAUUCUUGUCGUUUGAAGGGGAAAAAAAAAGAAGAUUUCAAAUGUGCAGCAGGAUCACUAGAUAGAUGGAGAGGCUUAUUUGAUUCAUUGCAGUUUAGUUCUAGUAUAUCAGUGACUGCAAUUGGAAUUUCUGACUGAAUGUAGAUUGUUCCCCGAAAGAUGGUUUUUUUUUUUUCAGUUUUUAGGAAUUUUUCAGUAUGUACCCAGUGAUUCUAUGCACUAUGAGUGCUAGGAUAGUGCAUAGUGUUUGCAGUUUGUCAGGGAAUUCUGUGAUAGCCUGUUGUGUUUGAAAUUUGUGUCAAAACUUUGUGUGAUGACUACUUUUAGAAAAACGAUUGUGUUUGGUGGCAUGGCAGUAGUUCAGUACAAAGACCAGAAGUUUGAUCUUGAUGUAUAUUGAUAGUAAAACAUUAAUUUUUGUGAUGUUAUGUAUCUGGUGGGUUUCUUUACAAUUGUUAACGAUGAUUUUCAGGUUGAUGAAUCAUAAGAGAGACAUCAAUGCCAUUUAGUUGUAUCCACUAGUUGAUUUAGGUAUCAAGCAAUAGUAGCUAAAUCAAAUCUUGAUUACUUUAGAGUGCCAUCUGGGCUUCAAUGGAUUGGUUUAUCUUAGAUAGCAGUUGAGCAGGUCUGAAUUUCCUUUUCUUGGUGGGUGGAAGUAAAGCUUCCUCCAUGGUCUUGCUUUUGUGGUUAAGAAAUGCUUGGUGUUGAUUGUCAAAACAUUCAAUUCCAGUGUCCUAUGAAAUUGUUAAUGCAACACAUGGAACCUGGUUCCUGGUGAACCGUUUUUUCAACCUGAUUCAUGGUUCAAAAAUCUUCAUGGGGUAGGUAGCUAAUUGUAAACACUGCUAAUCAUGGAAAGAAUUGAUCUGCGUGAUGUGUAUAUGUUUUUCAUGUUUAAUUGCUUUGGAAGCACCAAAGCAGUCUUCCAAAUAUGUACUCUCCAUAAGCGUAAUUAAUAUCAUCUCACAGAAGCGUUCAACUUUCACUCUAACGGCAAGUAGAAAGUUCAUUUCUCGAGUUCCGUUGUGUACCAUUUUCCAAGUUCAUAAAAAGUCAGAGUUAUAGCUUGUUCCUUGACAUAAGCAGGGUCCUCUUGCUGCACCAACUCUCCAGUUGCUGACGAAAGAAGAUUUGAGCAAAAUGUACUUCAGUGACUUCAAGCUGAUUGACAUCAAUGGAUAUUCAUGCUUCCUCACGAGAACUGGGUAUUACUUUGAUGCUUUACUUCCAUUAUUUAAAAAACCCACACCUCAUAUGAUUCUUAUCCUUUCAACUAGACAAAACCCUUAACAACCUAAUUACUAUCUUCCUCGCAUAGAUUUCCCAUCGCUUUUCCAUAAUACCUAAAUAAAUCUGUAUCAUUUCUAUUUGUUCCAGCAUGCCAAAUUGACGUACUUUGGUAGCAAUUUCGCAACCACCUGUAGGGCAGUAGAUCGAAUACAAUACUAUCUUAUAUUAAUUUUUUUUUAAUAUUGUUCAGUGUAGGAUUUUACAUCCACUACUAUGUGAAUUCCACAUUUAUUAGCAUAGCUGUUCUUUUUCAUCUUUCCAACAUCAGUAGUUUAUAUCUUUUGGAUGGUGACGAGUUGAUGUAAACAUUCCUAUAUUUGUUUCAGAAGAAUUGAACGUAGUUUCAGUAUUGUAAGGAUUGCCUUAUUUCUUAUUUCAGUUACACCGGCGAAGAUGGUUUUGAAAUCUCUGUUCCAUCAGAGAAUGCAGUUGAUCUUGCAAAGGCCAUCCUAGAGAAAUCCGAAGGCAAGGUGCGGUUGACUGGCUUGGGUGCCCGUGACAGUCUCCGCCUAGAGGCAGGCCUCUGCCUGUACGGCAACGACAUGGAGCAGCACAUCACGCCAGUUGAAGCCGGCCUCUCAUGGGCAAUUGGAAAGAGGAGGAAAUCGGAAGGCGGUUUCCUGGGUGCAGAUGUGAUCCUAAAGCAGCUUCAGGAAGGCCCAAAGAUCAGGCGUGUCGGCAUGAUCACGCAAGGGCCGCCUGCACGGAGCCACAGCGAGCUUGUGAGCAGCUCCGGGGAGAGCAUCGGCGAGGUGACCAGCGGAGGGUUCAGCCCGUGCCUGAAGAAGAACAUCGCUAUGGGCUACGUGAAAUCAGGAAUGCACAAGGCUGGGACAGAAUUCAAGGUGGUUGUUCGUGGGAAAUCCUACGACGCUGUGGUCACCAAGAUGCCGUUCGUGCCCACCAAGUACUACAGGCCCUCGUAGAUUGUACAAAUGGGACGCUUUGCAUUUCUCUUGUUGCGGCUUGUCCUUGACAGGUUGUUUAAGCCUGCAACUGUAACUUGACAUUUUAUCUAUGCCUGCCUAAUAAUGCCUUGUUUCCCAAAAACAAAGCAUGUGCCUGUGUGAAGAAUUGAAUCUUGCUGGGUGAGUGGGUGUUGCAUCCUCCGAUCAUAGUUGUUGAUCGGAUCACGGGCUGGAAAGUCCAGUUGGGCCACAAUAUUAGGACCCAAGUGGAAGUUGCCACUACAAGCUCUCUGCUCACCCUGAACCACGCCACCCACAUGUUCCUUGCCUGUAUAUAUAUAUAUAUCUUGAAUUCUAAUUUUCCGCCAGACGAAAAUUUCAAUUAUUAUGUCCGGUCCUGUAGAGUAGAGCUAGCCUUGAACCAGUUUUACUGAGGCCCUGAUCCGAUCCUCGCUUCCCUGCCAACUUAUGCUUUGUGUCUGCCUGUCUGGCACCUCGUCUGCAUCUUGAAUUCUAAUUUCCAAACGCCGCAUGCAGUUUUAUCUGAAUGUGAACAUAUUCUAUCUUGCAGCGCUGCCACAUGCAUGUGUACUUGCAGGAUGCAGCUUUGGAUCCUCGAUCUCAUACCACUCACUCCUAAACCCCUGAUCUCUGAGCUCGUUGCCUCAUGCAUGCCAGCCAAAGGAGCAUGAUUACCUUCGAUCUUCUUGUAUUGGAUAUACUAACCGAACAAACCUUUUUUUUAAAAAAAAAAAGCCUGAUAACCUAUAUUGACAUUGAACCUGAAACUAGGUUGUGACGCAUAUGGCUGGGUGAAAAAGAAAUCAGCGAACAACACUUUCAACAGUGCUCGCUUGAGCUUGUUUGCCAAAUCUGUCGGUCAUUCAAUAUUGUUUUUCUCAUAACAAAUCAGCGAAUAGUACUUUUAGUCAUGACUUUUCAUCCAAACGAAUAGCCUCUAUGUAUAGCGCGGCAGUUUCCCGCGGCCAAUAAUUGUUCGCUACUGCCGUUCAACGACCUUACCACCAGCAUCAUCUUCUGCCAGGACUGAAACGUCUCAAAUGUCACCACCUACUGUGAUUUCAAGUAGGAGUAUAUAUGAACCCCACCACACCUACUGUGAUUUCACAAGUUAGGGCCAGGGGCAGCUCAUAUGUCUCGCUCUUCUUCAAGUAUGUACGUAUCCGUGUCUCUUCUUACAUAAAGAUAGGCGUUGUCCUCCUGGGUCCUGGCUAUUCUCGGAGAAAUUAAGAGUAUCGAAUAUUUGUAGCACAGUACUACGGCAUUAUAUUCUACCUGCACCUACCUAUUUAUAUAUAGCACAAUAUAAUGCUCAUUUCAUUUGUAAUAAUAUACAUUGGCAGUAGUCUCGUACCUGCCUAUUCGUUCAAAAAUCAUAUAGUACCAUGCAGGUGUUAACAAACUUAUUAAUGUGCUUUUCAAAGAGAUUAUUGCAAUGCCAAUACGCAAUCAGAAUCUGCGUUGCAAGCCGAUCUACGUCCGUGAAGGACCAGUACCUCUUCUUAGGUGACCAGGCACUCAUGAAGACACAUCUUCCUCGGUCCCCAAAACAGCAGAGCUAGCUGAGGCACGUCACUCACACAAUGCAAUGUGGAAGUACACUAGGACAUACGAAAUUUUAUCACUUGCAGACUUCCUCUCCAAAAAAACAAACAAUAAUGCAGAGAUAGAUAAACAAGAGGUCCAUGGUUUCUUGUUACACUACUGGGGAUCGAAACAAGAGUGUCUUUCUGCCGAUCGAUAAUGAAAAAGGUCAGGAAAGCAGAUUGCAGAAAUAUGAAAGCUUGCUCCAACUGUCCAUUCGAGAUGCUCUUUCUGCACUCCGCAGACUGCAAGCACCCUUUCAAGCUACGCUCUUUAAUCUUUAUGACUGGCAGUGUAGCAGCAGUAUAGAUCGGUCGUCGCCGGCGUCUCCCUUGUGCAUGUUCAUGAUCAGCUUUCGGUUUUGCAGAAACUGCCCAUAUGCUGUAGUAGCUAGCAACAAACGAUGGCAAUAUGCAUGCAUCCUUUUGUCUCUCUACACAUAAUGUAUACGGAGUAUCUCUGUGCUGCUCUUUGAAAACAGCAUGCUACAUUGAGCAUGAACUGUCGUUGAUGUAGUACAAGCUAUAUCUAGCGUUUUUUUUCUGCGCACUUUAGCUAUAUGUAUGCAAAGAAAAGCAAGGGAAAAGUAUAUGGAGAUUGGAGAAAUUAUGAUGUAGGGCUAAAUCUCAUGAAAGAGAGGGAAACUUUAUCAGAGCUAAUUCUACACGUACGUAGUAAAUAUUAAGUUGUGAAACUGUCAUCGUCCUAUCUUCAGCUUUAGAAUCUAGUCAGGAAUACUCUUGACUCCCAGCAGCCGCCUAUAAUGCUAACUACAAAAAUGAUGCACCAUAAAGAUGAUAUAUAAUAAGGAUUAAGGGUGAGAAAAGGUGCAAAAGUGUCGACGCAGCUUUACAAAGAAUCAUGCUAAAUAUACAGUGUCUUCGCCUGAGGAAUGCUAUGUAAAUCAUCAUAUUUCACAGAUAUAAUUUGCUAUGAUUAUCCAUUAUAAAAUAACGCAAAGAACUCCGUCACACGACGAAGUUCCAACAGCAGAAAACUUGCAGAUACGAGGAUCGAUGAUGCAACGUGUGCAAGCAUGAAAUGAUGAAGAAUUAAUGACAUUAACACAGAUAGAAGCGAAGGAUGGGCAUUACACAAAGCAUCAGAAUGGGUUAGUAUAUAUCAUUAACAGAAACGCACGUGCAGGAGAAAUGAGUGUGCUUUGCGAGAUUUUCCACAAACUCCAGCAUGAAGUUGUUAAGAACAACCCCACAAACACACCCCCAAAAAUCACGAGAGGAUGUGAUGAUUCAGGGCACGUAAUUGACAAAAUUUAAGAAUGAGGAUAUAUAUGGGCAAAUUAAAGCGAGGACGUGAUAUUGGCACGGCUCAAUCAAAGAGUGGAGCCCCUGGGCUUUGGAGCGCAAGCUUUCUGAUUGAACCGCGCCAAUAUCCCGUAGGUUUACUAGAGGAUCGAUGGAUCGAUCGGUAAAUAAGCACAGAUGAUAGCAUUCUUACCGCGUACGUACGUUGGAGAGAUCAGCAGAUAUGGCAGCACAGCCGAAUUGAAGGAGCGAGAGGAAGAAACCGCAAUAUGAUCAAGCCAUCAUUUCGAAAGAGAAUCGAAGAACACUAAUAAGACGACGGCUAAUUAACUUGCUCAAUGAAGACAGCUGAGGAACAACAGUAGUACGUGAAGGCACACUCCCUUUUGUUUCAUGCGGAGGAAGGUGAAAGAAGAAGGAGCGCAGGACGAAGGGAAGGCACGGGCUUCUUUAAUAGGCCUUGUUGGAGGGCGAUGCAAAGGAGAGCGAAUGUGGGAGCGAGCGGGGCCGGGGCUGAGGGGGCAGGUCUCAAUAAAAAGUUUGAAUAGAGUUUAAUUCUCAUUAAAUAAAUAAACAACCAACUUAGCAAAAAAAAUAUGUUGACACGACAUCAUAUAAUAAAUGGAGAGAGAUAACAAAAGUUUUACGAGGUGGAAUGAGUUUUAUGACGAUGAAACUAAUAUACAGUUCUACACAUCUUCAACGUGUAUAUGAGUGUUGGAAACUAGAACAUGAAACAUUCACUGAGACUGACAUUAUAAUGGAACUUGUCUAGUAUUUAAUUAAGUUUGAGUUUUCGACUCCGGGGCAAUGCAUGUUAACAUGUGUAAGUGGUAGUUUGGUGCUUGUAUGUUUUGAAGGAUGUGAUUAACAUCCAAAGAUGCAUGGCUUUUGAUUAAGAAGAAAAAAAUAUCUAAACUCGAAUUUAUGAGGACUCAAGACCAAUGCAUGCAUCAAACUACACCUCCCAUCUAACUUAGAUAAGCUAGCUAUCACCUCCUCCUUUUCCCAUGUUUUCAAAAAUAAAAUAGGCUCUAUUUGGAUCUUUUUCCUAUAGUGAGACUUUGAAUUCUAGAUAGCAAAAUGUAGAAUCUAGAUUAUGAAUUCUAGAUAGUGUGGGUCUGUUUGGAACGCAAGAAUUUCGUAGGAAUCACAGGAAGUUCAAUUUCACAUGAAAAAUGCAGGAACAAGAAAUUUCCUGCAUUUGAAAUAGACCCUCAUUUCCAUAGUGAUUAUUAUGUUUGCAUAGUGAAAAUCUUCAAAUAGUAGGUUUUGGCACAUACUAGUUGGAUUCUAUAAACUCAUUCUAGAGUUGUAAAGUUUCCAUCUCGUUCUUAUUUUUCUUAGGAGAUCGAUCCGAGGAGAUGGCCGGCCGGGGAGCAUGCAAGGCACGGUGUGGUACGCGUGUGACUGACGUUCAUGGGUACAUUGGAUGCAUCACGGAUGCAUGGAGGGACAGCAACGCCGAAGAAUUGAAGCAGCCACAGUGCCUUACAUAGAGGAGCAGACCUGCAGCGCUAGCUAGCCGGCCUACGUAGGUGUGUGGGUGCGUGGUGGUAGCGGCGAUGGACGAGCGAGCCCGCGGAGGCGCCGCGAGUGAAUGCGCCAACAACCCAACAAAGAGGAGGUUGGAGAAUUGAAGUGGCACAUUGAAUUGAACAGACGACGCGCGGGGCCGGGGCCGAUCGAUCAUCAGCAGGCAGGGCGAGACGAGAUGCCUGGAGCGAGAGAGAGAUGGAGACGGAGAUGGACGUACUGGUGCAUGCAUGGAGCCGGCCGGGAGGCAUUCAAGAUGGAUUCCCAUAGCCGGCAGCGGCACAGACGAAGGCCGCGCGCGGUGAAUGCGCUGCAGGAACACUUGCCAUCACGCACGCACGUUGCUGCGGCAUGGCAUGGCAUGGGAUGGGAUGUUUGCCUCUGCUUUGGCCGUCGCGUCGUCGUGUCCUCCUCUCUCUCUCUCUCUCUGCGGUCUGCCUCUACGUAGGAGUACGUUGGUUGUGCGCCAUGCAUGCAUAUGGUCAUCGAUCUCCGUCAUGCAUGUUGUUAAUUUGGCUGUGUGGAUGCGGCGACGGAUCGGACAAGCGUGUGCGUUGCCUUGACGGAAACUAGUGAUGACAACACAAGACCGGCCGGUGCCGCGACGCCGGCGGAUCGGAUGCGGUAAAGCCAUGCUUCCAAGCAACCAGUUUGGCCUGGACGUUGCUGACGACGUACAGUGGCUCGAUCGCCGGCUGCCGCAUGCGGCAACCGUGUCGCAUCGCAGGUGGCCCCGGCCCGGCUCCAUCCCGUAGCAGCAGCAGUAACACGAUGCAUGUCUUUGGUCGAUUGGACGUACGUGUAGCCGAGUGCCGAGUGCCGACUCGACUCCAUCCAGUCAUCCAGGCCGGGCAUUUGCAUUAUAAUAUGGAUCAUAUAAUACUGUAUGUCUUUUGAUUGAGAGCUGGCUAGCGUCACGCAACAUCACGGCUCACGGACGAGGCGUACAAUGCCGUGAGAAAAAAAAAUAUGUUGCUUGUGCUUGGACGACCGGAAUGUGCUUCCAUUCAGUUGCGUGAUUAUUGCGUCUCCUACAAAAUAUAUACAAAUACUAUACUCCUACCGAUGAACAAAUUAAACGAUUUGCGUGCUAGUAGCUAGACUAGUAGUAGUAGCCGCGCGCGCACGCACAUCACAUGUGGAGCCUACGUGUUUCGUUUCGUAGUUGACAUUCUGACAACACAUUGCAAAGUCAGGAGACGGAGAUACCCGUACAAUUACUGCGUAGUACACUACGACGCUGGCCAUGCAUGCAUGCACGGAUGCACCCCGUGCAGGUGCAGCCGUGCACAAGCACAACGACGACACGAGAGAAAGCAGGUACGGUAGUACGCUACCUGUAGCUACUGGCUAGAAGCCUUGAUCUCUGCAUGCAUGCAGCUCUAUCGCGCUAGCUUAGGAAUCAGAGGAGGAUGGAUCCGUCACUGCUCACUGCGUACCGCCGAUCGAUGAUGGACGGACGAUGAUAUCCAUCUGUUUGCUCCUACCUCCUAAUAAUCGGACGAGUAAACUUCUUAGUUGCAAGUCUUAACUAACUGAACACACGGCGGCGGGUGAGUAAGUACAUGUUACCCCUUGGCUAUAAGAUAUUUUGAUUUUUCUAGAUAUAUAACUUUUAUUAUAUAAUUAGAUAUAUAUUGUGUCUAGAUAUACUAAUAAUAAAGUCAAUGUAUCUAAUCUAAAUCAAAUAAAAAGAUAAAACAUCUUGUAAUUUAAUUUGAAACGAGGGAAUACCUAACUUUCCCUAUAUAAUUAGAUUUACACUAUUUUUCUCUCCAACUACUCAACGUAGCCUACUACAUCAUAUCAUACAUUACUCCUAUAAAUACUUUACUUGCUCCUACAGGCACUGUCCUGCCUACUGGCGGCCAACAGUGUCACCCACGUCUAUACAGGCAUACAUCGAUGAGGGAAUGCAUAAACGUUGGAUUGUCCUUUUCUCGGCCUGCAAAAGGGUCAAUCCAAGCGUUCAGUCUUGGUGCAUCAUCCACUCUAGCUUACCAAGCCAUAGGUCAAAUGCCUACUUCUGUGCCUAGGUGUCAAUUAGUUUCUAUGAACUGUUGCUGCAAUUUUAGCUUAAGGUCAUUGAGAGGUUCAAACUUCCCAUCAGCAGCUGUCGUAGGGACACGACUGUCCAACCGGAUGAGACGAGAAAUAGGUUUCAAUUUCAAGGUCUUGUUUUGUUCGUGAAAAGAAAAAUUUUAAAUAUCACAUCAGGAUAUGCCGAUACACAUUUAAAGUAUUAUAUUAACUAAGUUUUUAACAUAGCUCGUCUAGAAACUACGAGACGAAUUUAUUAAAUCUAAUUAAUCCAUCAUUAGCACAUGUUGAUUAUUGUAGCAACUAUGUCUAAUCAUAGUCUAAUUAGGUUUAAAAUAUUCAUCUCGCAAUUUACAACUAAACCGUGCAAUUCAUUUUUUUCCUCUACAUUUAAUAUUCCAUGCAUAUGGUGAAAGAUUGGGUGUAAAGUUUUUGGGUUGAGAACUAAAACAAGGCCCAAAUGUGUACGCCUUCAUUCACUAAACCACUGGCAAUCCUUAGCAAUCAGGGCUUGUUUAGAUGCAAAAAUUUUUUAGAUUUUGACACUGUAGCACUUUAGUUUUUAUUUGACAAACAUUGUCCAAUCAUAAAGUAACUAGGCUUAAAAGAUUCGUCUCGCGAUUUACAGACAAACUGUAUAAUUAGUUUUUAUUUUUAUUUAUAUUUAAUACUCCAUGCAUGUGUCGCAAGAUUCGAUGUGAUGGAAAAUCUUGUAAAGUUUUGGGUGAAACUGUGUAAUUAGUUUUUAUUUUUAUUUAUAUUUAAUACUCCAUGCAUGUGUCGCAAGAUUCGAUGUGAUGGGAAAUCUUGUAAAGUUUUAGGUGUAUCUAAACAAGGCCUCAGCCAACAAAACAUACGGCCAAGAUCAAAAUUCCAGAAGAGCAGAACCCACGCCGUACCAACAGCUAAGAAUAAAUGCUAGUAGCAGCAACAGACCGGCCCCAACGUCCACAGCAGAGGCAAUGGCGACGCUAUAACGCCAAGAACCAGAUUCCCAGGCCUUGUUUAGGCCUUGUUUAGUUCCGAAAAAUUUUGGAAAAUAGACACUGUAACACUUUCGUUUGUAUUUGAUAAAUAUUGUCUAAUUAUGGUCUAACUAGGCUCAAAAGAUUCGUCUCAUCAAUUUCGACCAAACUGUGCAAUUAGUUUUUAUUUUCGUUUAUAUUUAAUACUUCAUGCAUGCGUCUAAAGAUUCGAUGUGACGGGGAAUGUGAAAAAUUUUGCAAAAUUUUCUAGGAACUAGUUUAGUUCCAAAAUAUUUUGCAAAAUCGACACUGUAGCUUUUUCGUUUGUAUUUGACAAAUAUUGUCCAAUCAUGGACUAACUAGGCUCAAAAGAUUCGUCUCGUCAAUUUCGACCAAACUGUGUAAUUAGUUUUUAUUUUUGUCUAUAUUUAAUACUUCAUGCAUGUGUCUAAAGAUUCGAUGUGAUGGGGAAUCUGAAAAAUUUUGCAAAAUUUUUUGGGAACUAAACAAGGCCUUAGUUCCCAAAAAUUUUGCAAAAUUUUUUAGAUUUCCCGUCACAUCGAAUCUUUAGACGUAUGCAUAGAGUAUUAAAUAUAGAUAAAAAUAAAAAUUAAUUGCACAGUUUGGUCGGAAUUGACGAGACGAAUCUUUUGAACCUAGUUAGUCUAUAAUUGGACAAUAUUUGUCAAAUACAAACGUAAUUGCUACAGUGCUCAUUUUGUCAAAAUUUUUAGAACUAAACAAGGCCCCAGCAUUCAUCCUGACACCCACGCCCACCACCAUCCAGGCUCUGCCGCCAUCAGCAACAGAGCCUCAACGCAGUAAUGGCACCGGCGACACAAGGCCCUCGUGCCUGCCGGUGAGCUUUUCCAUCAGCUGCUGCUGUCGGUAGCAUCCAGCAGCCAAGCAAUAAAACAGCAACAGCAAUCGGAUUCAAUGGCAUACUGCGACCCAGAUUGACCUUGUUACAGCCCUUACACGGACCAGUAACCGUAAACUGACAUAAAAGAUAUCACACAUCGACCCAAGAUUCAGGUCCAAUCAAUUUGGUUUAAAGGAUGUCCAUUACAUCGAUGACAAUCUGAUAGGUAGGUUUUAGCAGUAGAGUGCAGUCACUUGCAACGAGGAAACCAGAAUAUACACAGUUGCUUGGCAGGCCUUAUUUACAGGAGGCAUGGCCGCAUGGGCAGGGCAUUGGUAGGGAAGCAAGGGCAAGGCGACCCGAUUGCGGUGAGCUGUGGUGUUGCGCCAUCCAUCUAGAGCAGACCGAAGGUGUUCUCACCACUGUAAGUCAUGUAGAGGAACCCAUCCUCGUCCUUAUUCUCUUCAUAGAUUGAAGACAUCAGAGCAGCUGCACAAGUACAGAGAAGUAAGUAGAAUCAAGUGAGAAUGGCUAUCAUGUCCCCAAAUGCUCAACGUCAUAUGAGUUCUCAUAGGAAGCAAAAUCAGAGUCAGAAAUAUGCUGUUUCUGUAUUUAUUUUCCAGACCUGUUGGUGGAAGGGUGUUCUUCACAAAGAUGAAGAUAGCCUUCUCAGCACUGAGCUUGAUUCUCUUCCUAACGACAUACACGAAUUGUCCAACUGUAAGAUCAGCAGGGACGAGGUACCUGCAAAGUGAUGGCCAUCAGAAAAACAGAACAGCUUACUGCUUACAAUGGAUGACAUGGCACAUAACACGUUGAGUACAAUAGUGCUUCAGUGAUAUAGUAAUUGGGACAAGUGAAUAAUGCCACCACCAACAGGAGCCCCUUUUUCAAUCACAAAAAGAAAACUAAAACCACCAACAUUUUCAGGACCACAAAAGAAUGGAAACCAUAGUAAAUAUUCAACUCAACAAGUUUGUUUAUUAGGAAUAGAGUCAAAUUAUUGCAAUUAUCAAACAAUUCUACUGCACCAUAGAUAAUUAUUGCAAUUAUCAAACAAUUCUAUUGAACCAUAGAUCAUGAUAUAGUAAUUGGGACAACUGAAAUAAUAUAUGUGCAUAAACGACCACAAUGCAAUGCUGUUGCACAUUUAUAUUAGGGCAUCCCAAUAUAAUGCGAAAUGGAUGGCACCAACUACCAUCAGUUAUCAGGAAAACGGUAAAAAUCUCACUAGCAUUAACUCAUAAACAUUUAAAGAUGAACAUAUCUGUAUAGCAGUUAAACAUUUAAAGAUGAACAUAUCUGUAUAGCAGUUAUGAUUAACUUAGAAAAGUUGAGAACUGACUUUUUCUUGUCGAUGUCAGGAAUGUCACUCCUCUCAGCCUUCUCAACAAUCACCUGCAUUAUACAAAUUGUCAUAAAUUGGAUCAAAGCAAUCAUGAAGAACAAAACAGUGCAUACAGGCUGCCUCUUCUCUGUAAUUCUAGUGAGAUUAAGGGUAGAAGCUUACUGGAAUUCUGUCAGGGUACUUCUCCCUGAUCCGGUUAGCCUCAGACUGCCUCUUCUCUGUAACACAAAGCAUGAGAGAUCAUGGGUUCAGUUUAACCUAAUAAAUACAAAAGGCUAAAUUGUCUUGCUGGGAAAUGAUGGAACAAGGCCAUAGCGACUCAGAACAUGUUGGAAAUCAUAGCUAGCUGGGACAUAGAAUUGUCUUUGUUCAAAGUAUACAGAGUCAUCAAAUGUUAUCAAGUACUACAGAUUUUAUAUUAUCUGUUUCUUAAGGAAAUGCAGAAAAAACUAUUAUUAUCCAGGUCAAGUAGGGCAUACAUGUCAAUCAAUUGAUAGAAACCAGCUCAACUAACUCAUGUCAAUAAAAUAAUAUAUGAUAGUUUUUUUUUUGUUAAACUAAAAAGGCAAUAAUAACAACUUAGGACAAAAGCACAAUAAAAUCAGAUUGCCCUGUAACUUAUCAAGGGCAUGACCACAUUGCUAAGAGCAUCUCCAACCGUUUUGCAUAAUUGGUUUGGCAAAUGAGGGAGUUUGCCAAGUCUCAAAAAAAUAUGGCAAAGGUGAAAAGAGGCAAUCUCCAAUGGUUUGGCAUUAAUCACUUCGCGCCAAUUUUCCAAUGCAAAGUGUGAACAGAUUUGGCAUAUAUGCCAAUCCUUCCUCUCUUUUUGCCAAGUUAACAAAAUUGCAAAGUCUAAAUGCCAAACCGUUGGAUAAGUGUUUUUAAGACUUUUUUGCAAAUACAUGAAUCCAAAGCUUAUUUGCAAAACGGUUGGGGAUGCUCUAACCAUGAGCAACCUUACAAUACCUAAUACAGUUAUAAAAGAACACGGCAGCUUCCUGCUAAAGAGCAUUUUACAGCUGCCUAAAGUCUGGUGAAGGUACAAACUUCUUCUGAGCCAAAUGUAUUAUCUGAUUCAUAGAAAUUAGAAAAUAAAUCUCAAAUAUAUGAUCCUCCAGAUAAGGAACCACUUCAGAAAAAUCUCAAACGACAAACCAGACGAUCACUUUAGAUUGACUAGCCACUUUUAUCAUGUACAAUUGCAAAAUAUCACUGUCUAACACAAACUUGAAUGGCAGAACACUAAGUACAUAAUUGUAGUCACAUAUCAGUUAUACCCAAUCAACACCAGCAACAUAAUCCCACAAUAAUCAUUGGCUGCUCAAAAAUUUUGGCACGAGAUAUGUAUAAUUUAAUCUGCAGUUGCUAGCUUUUGAAGAGAGGCGAACUUGCCUACAAGCCAAAGCAAAUCACAUAAGGAAACUGCACCGAUCACGAUUGCUCACAAAUUUAUUCAAACUAUAUGGAUAGCUGUUCAGUUCCUCAAGAGUACUACCAAUCCGCAAAAUUACCCUCCUAGUCAAUCGUCCAACCCCAACAAGCAAGCAGCAGAUAUCAACGGUUUUCUACAUAACCGCAAAACCUAAAGGGAGCAUGGGAAACAUCAUACGAACCGAGGGGGUGCUCCAGCUUGAACGAGCUCGUCUUGGCCAUCACGCUCCUUCCUGCAUACACCAACCAAUCUCAAAAUCAAAUCACCGAGAAAACCGCACAUCAAUCGAGCCGAUCGAGCAGCAAAAACUAAGAACCAAUCGAGUAAAACCUUACCGGUGGGAUCGAACCGCGUUGGGGGAUGCGAACGAAUCGAACGAAGGCGGCGAACUGCUCCGGGCCCUGGAGUUCACCCACCCACACCAAAACCACAAAACAGACACCAGAUCGAUGAGAAGAAGGCCCCCGAUCGGCGGAAAACUGCGAAUAUUGAUGGAAGAACAGGGGAGAAACGCACGGGACUCACCGGAUUUGGCUGGAUUGGGUUGGUGGGGGGAGGGUUUCUUCGUCUUCCAAGCAAGCGGCGGAGAGACGGAGCGGUGGGUAAAAGGAGGGUAGGGGAAAGGGUGGGGGGAUCGGGGUUGCUUAUGUAAAGGCCCACACGCGCACGAAACGUAACGCCCAGGAAACCUGAUCAGGCACGGCUGCUUUCGCGUAAGAAAACCCAAGUCAUGACGAUCCAAUAAUGCAAGGCAGCGUAUAAUACUACUCGAUCAAAGAAGAUAGGCAAUGGUAUCCUCGGUGAUAGAUUCCUUCAAAAAAUUACGUAUAAAAUCUUAACUGCUCCAGAUAUGACCGAGAAUCUUCACAUAUUACGUACAAAUCCAUAACUGCCACGGUUUUUUUUUCUGAGAAUGGGAUCCUCAAUUAUGAAUUCCUUCACAUUAUUAUUUAUCUAAUUUAUAAUAAAUAUAAAUAUAGUCACAAUUAUCCUUUUUCUUUUUACGAAAACUAGCAUAGUCUUCUGAUCUCUCAGCUCGCACUUUAGCUUUGUUUCCAAGUCAAAAUUCUCUAUUUUUGAUAAAGUUUAUCAGAAAUAUUUUAUCAACAUCUACAAUACCAAAUUAGGCCUUGUUUAGCUCACCCCAAAAAUUAAAAACUUUUUAAUAUUCUCCAUCACAUCGAAUCUUGCGACACAUACGUUAAGCAUUAAAUAUAGUUAAAAAUAAAAAUUAAUUACACAGUUUGCAUAUAAAUCACGAGAUGAAUCUUUUAAGCCUAGUUAGUCUAUAAUCAGACAAUAUUUAUCACGAACGAACGAAAUUGCUACAGUGCCUCGAACCAAAAUUUUUUGAAAACUAAACAAGGCAUUAGUUUCAUUGUGUUUUCAUCACAUAUGCUUCUCUAUCCGAGGCUGUCAUCCGAGGUCAUCCAUGUGUCCUAAUUUUUUUUAUAAUUUAACCCCAUCCAUGUGUCCUAAUUUUUUUAUAAUUUAAUCCUUUUCUGUAACAAAUCCAUGUUUAGUUCUCUAUACAUCAAAAAUUUAACUUUGAAUCUUUUUCUCGGCGUCGUGACUUAUGGCACCGAGAUAAACCGUCUCGGCACCAUAGGUCAUGGCGUCAAGCCUUAGUGAUAUGGCGCUAAUAUAAUAUAGCUCGACGCUAUGAAACAUGGCGCUGACCUCCAACCUACUUUUGAAGCUGCAUGCAUGUCGUCUAGUUCUAGCUACCCACGUGCUCUACAUGUUGCCUAGUGUCCACUUCAAUGUUGUUGAAGUGCUGCUUGUGCUACAAACUUUGGAAAACGAGCCAACACUAUUAAUGUUCAUGUGCAGUGCAUAUGAAAGAGUGGUAUGAGCAUAUAGAAAGUGGUGUUGUGUCCACUCCACUAUUGUUGAAGUGUUGCUUGUGCUACUGACCUUGAAGAACGAGCCGACACUAUUAAUGUUCAUGUGCAUUGCAUGUGAAGGAGUGGUAUUAGCACAUGGAAAGCGGUGUUUUUUUUUGUCUUUUUUGCAUUUAACUAUUGUAGUAUUUUUAUUUUAUUAGCUAUUAGUGUCCAAUCAUCAAUUAAUUAGGUUUAAAAGAUUCAUCUCAUAAAUUUAGGCAAACUGUACAAUUAGUUAUUUUUUAAUCUAUAUUUAAUACUCUAUGCAUGCGCCCAAAGAUUCGUGUGUU
rnacentral:lncRNA from 1 species